rnacentral:lncRNA from 1 species
ACUAAAAAAGGGUUUUUUAAAUGAAAUAAGCAAAAAUCAUUAACAUGAUUCAUAAGCGGAAAUAUUAUGCAGACUAUUUUCCUAUUAUUAACUAAUGAUUAUGAAGUCCCAACACUAAAGACACGCAUAAUACUGCCAUAGCAGUCAAUCCAAAUAUUAACGCAAAAUGUCGCUUGAUGAACUAGUGUUUUUCAAAUUAAUACUUAAAGUACAUGACAUGGCACCAGUACUUUCAGGACCACUAAUUCACAAUACCAGCAGCAUACAAAAUAGUGAAGUAAAAACAACUAGUAGAAUGAGAUGUGUUACUAUCAAUUGCUAUCAAAUGUUGCAGAACUCUAAAGCCAGCAGCCACACAACUAGUGCAGUCAGUAUAAUCCUCAAAAUUCGACCAAAUACCUUUGAUGAGAAUAUGAUUCCUUUCACUUGCAUUAUUUUUUAGUUAUUUUAAAUAAAUGGAGAAAAAAGGAAGUGUCUAGAAGAGGUAAAAGAACAAAGGAACCUUCUAGCUUGUAAAUACCCAUUAAAACCCAAAUAUAGAAAACAACAAUAAAGCUCAUUCUUGCAAUUACAGUAAAAAAUUAGGUGAAAUGUUAGGAAUAUAGAUCGCGCGUUGUUAUGAUUAAGGACGGAUGAAUGAAUAGAUUGCCACAUUGGUAAAGCUUUUAAGACCCAUUUCUUUCCUUUCCUCUUAACUAAUUAAGGCAAUAUAUUUAUCUCAUUACUCAAGAUCUCAAGUUGUGUUAAAAGAUUCUUGACCUUUUUCAAAACUGAAAAAGAGUGUAAUCUUCCAAUUUAACACGUUUCCCAAUUUUGGCGGAGGGAAAUAGAAUAAAAAUGAAUAGGGAUAUUUAUACUUCUCAAUUUAUACUUCUCAUCUCUUACUUUUUCUUGCAUAAACUUCCACUAAAACAGACAAUUUCAACAUCAUGAAUAUGCCAACUGCUAAAAGAAUAUCAGGAAUAUUGCUAUAUAUGUAUGGUUAUGCAAUACCAAUAUUCUAUUUCUAGAUAAACGGUUGAGUGUUUACCAUUAUUUUGCUUCUUCCCUUGUGAAAAAACACUAAGAGCCUUUGGAUAAUAUUAAAAUAUGAUCAAAUCAGUUUUUAAUUUCUUUUUAAAUUUUUUUAGGUGUUUGAUAAAAUUAAAAAAAUACUUGAAAAACCAAAAAAAACUGAUUUGGAGGAAACCAUACAUAAAGAGGAAAAAAUUAACACAGAAACCUUACCUCUUUUUGACUGAUCGGAUGACACACGCAGAGGAAGAGAGAGAGAGAUACGCGGAGGGAGAGAGAGAGAAAAGAAGAAGAAAUGGGGGGAGAGAGAAGAGAGGAAGAGAGAAAGAAAAGGGGAAAGUGGAGUAUGUUACCCUAAUAUGGGUUGAUUAAAAGUUUGACUAAAUCUCGACGACAAAUUUCAACGUUGGCCGUCUCUUUUUAAAAAUUUAUAUAUUUAAUUUAUUUUUUAAAAAAUAUAAAAUUUAUUUAUUUAUUAUUAAAUUAAAAAUAUUAAAUAUCGACGGCCAACGUCGCUUUUCAAAAUAAUAAUUUUAAUUUAGUUUAAACAAAAGCGACGUUGUCAGUCGCUUUUCGUAAAAAAAAAUUUACAAAUUGCGACGGAUAACGUCGCUUUUCUAGAAUUAAAAAGUAAAAAUUAUAGCAACGUUGUGCGUCGCUUUUAAUAUAUAAAAAAAUAUUAAAUUUAUAAAUUGACAGACUACGUCGAUUUUAGAAAAAUUAAUUUUUAUUUAUUUUUUUAAAAAGCGACACUAUCCAUCGCUUUUUGUAAAAAAAAAUAAUAAAAAUAGUUACAAGUUGUGAUGAAUAACGUCGCUUUUCUAGAAUUAAUAAUUAAAAAAACAAAAAGAAUAGCGACGUGGUGUGUCGCUUUCAAUUAAUAAAAAUAAAAAUAAAAAAUAAAUUUAUAAAUCGGCGGACUACGUCGCUUUUCAAAAUUUUUUUUUUAUUUAAUUUUAACAAAAGCGACGCUGUCCAUCGCUUUUUGUAAAAAAAUAAAAAAAAUAAAAAAUAAUUACAAAUUGUGACGGACAACAUCGCUUUUUUAGAAUUAAUAUUUUAAAAAAUAAAAAUUAUAGCAUCGUUGUCCGUCUCUUUUAAUAAAAAUAAAAAAAUAAAAAUAAAUUUAAAAAUCAACGGACUACGUCGCUUUUUAAAAAAUAAUAAUAAUUAUUAUUUUUUAAUAAAUUAUGAUGCUUUCCGUCGCUUUUAUUAAAAAAAAUUAUAAAUUAUUUUUUAAUUACUUGCCACAAAAAUUCGCAAAAAAAAAAACGACGAAUUUUAAGACGUUGGUCGUCGCUUUUAAUAAAAAAUAAAUAAAAAUUAAAAUUAAACUAAAAAAGCAACGGCCAACAUCGCUUUUUAAAGCUACAAAGUCCGUCGCUUUUUUUUGCGUCGCUUUUUGGCCAUUUUUUAGUAGUGAGAGGAACUUGAGCCAACUUCUCAUCCGUUGCAACAGGUCAGUUAUAUGUUACAACAGAUAGCAUACCUGGUGUAAUAUAUUAAUGAUCUAUUUUUAUGGUUUUCCAUGAAUUACUCAUCUAUUGCAACAAGUCAGUUAUAUGUUGCAACAAAUAACAUACUUGGUACAAUGGAUUAAUAAUUUAUUUUUAUUAUCUCCAACAGUUUACUUAUCUGUUACACACGUCAGUUAUAUGUUGCAACAGAUAACAUACCUGGUGCAACAGAUUAGUGAUCUGUUUUUAUGGUUUCCAACAGAUUACUCAUCCGUUGCAACAGGUUAGUUAUAUGUUGCAACAGAUAACAUACCUGAUGCAAUAGAUUAGUAAUCUAUUUUUAUGGUUUCCAACAGAUUACUCAUCCGUUACAACAGGUUGGUUAUAUGUUGCAGUAGAUAAACUACAUGGUGCAACAGAUUAGUGAUCUGUUUUAUGGUUUCCAACUGAUUACUCAUCCAUUGCAAUAGAUUGGUUACAUGUUAUAAUAGAUAAACUACCUGGUGCAACAGAUUAGUGAUCUAUUUUAUGGUUUCAACUGAUUACUCAUCUGUUGCAAUAGGUUGGUUAUAUAUUACAACAGAUAAACUACCUGGUGCAAUAGAUUAGUGAUUGUUUUUAUGGUUUCCAAUGGUUUACUAAUCCAUUGCAACAGGUCAGUUAUACAUUCCAUUAAAUGAAAUACCUGGUACAAUAAAUUAGUGAUCUGUUUUUAUGAUUUCCAAUGGUUUACUUAUCCGUUGCAAUGGGUUGAUUAUAUGUUCCAUCAAAUAAAAGAUAUGUUGCAACAGAUUAGCAAAUUUUUGUAUUAUUUCUAAAGAUUUACUCAUCCGUUGCAACAGGUCGAUUAUAUGUUGCAACAGAUAACAUACCUGGUGCAAUAGAUGUGUGGUCUGUUGGAAUUGUUAUCUUACCAUUGUGCAUGUUAGAUUUAUUGUUAUCCCUUUUUAAUGAUGCAUUAGUCAAUCAUAAUCUAUUUUAUGUUCCUGUUAAUUUAAGAUAAUAUGGCUCCCAAAAGAAAAGAAACUGAAUCAAGUCCAAGUAAAGGAACAAGUGUAGCAGCUCGGCUACAUCCAUCACUCAAUGAGCUUUCUUUACAAGCGUUAUCUCAAUCAGGAGCAGAAGAUAAUAAACACGGGGAGGAGGAAUGCCUCAAAAGAGAUGAUGCAAAUGCUAAUAGCCCUUCCACCAAAGAGUUGGUCAAAACCUUUAGCAUUGAUCAUUAUCCUGUGAGAAUACAGUGCGAUGGUGCCACAGAUUUAAAGUGUGAUUUCGUGGUUAAGUCAUCCAUGGGAAAAUCUUUUGACGCCUUCAAAAAAAUACUUCGAGAAUAAAAAUUGGAUGCUUAUUUCAGGGAAAGCUGCUUUGGAAAAUAUCUUGAUUUGUCUGAGGACAACAAUGCUCGUUUCCAGAUGAAAAUGGUAUAUAAUAUUCCCAAGCGUAGGUUUAUGUAUGAAAAAAAAAGACAAGAUGGAUAAGGUGUGGAUAAAUUACUGUGGCAUGCCUGUUUGUUUUGGUAGGAAGGAGUUUUCCAUAGUUAUCGGACUAAAAUGUUAUCCUCCUUCUCCUUCUCAAGUUAUACCUACUCUGACCCCAAAAAAACACCCCGCACAGGUGUCCAUUGUUGGUCCAAGCUUCAAAAAUAAAAAUUUGAUAAAACGUUGAAAGGUAAAGGACUCUCAAAGAAGCACAAGCAAUCAUUGUACUUGGUUUAGUUUGUACAUAAUAUUCUUUGGGCGAAAGACGUUAACAACAACAUAAGCCCUGGUUUAAUAAAUCUUUCCAAGGAUAUUGAAGCAUUUAACAGCUAUCCUUGGGGUUAUGAAAGCUACAAAAUGAUUGUCCAAUAGUUGUUGAUUCCGUUGACACCAAAGACAGUCAACUUAUAUGACUUUUCAUGGGCCUUCAUGGUAAAUAUUUCUUUUAUCAUGAUAUGAUUCAUCAUUUUUAUAUUCAAUAAUACUUUUGAUUUAUUGGCGUUAUGUUAUAGGUUUGGGCAUUUGAAGUCAUUCCUUAUUUGAGACAACAAGUGAACUACUAGGAAAAAGUUUUCUGUCCAAGAAUCCUGAGAUGGUUGUCGGCCAAAACCGAUAAAAAUGCAAAAUUUCUUGAUCUUUUCAAUCCCUCCAAGGAAGCAGUAAGUACAAUUGUAAUCAAGUUUUUAUUUUAAUUAAUGAUUAUUUUAAAUGAUUUCAUGAUCAUUCUAAUAUAUGUACCGAUUUAUUUUAGAUUCUCUAUCCGUGGCUUAUUCUGACCAACCAAGUGUUGAAGAUGCCAUUUUUUCUUACUUUACGGCCUGUACAAACUUUAUCGGGCCCUAAGGUCGUUGAUGGAAUAAAAAUAGAAUUAUUUGGAGCAAAAACCAUAACAAGAAAAAAAAAUUUGGAGGGUGGGCUUAUUGCUGUUGACGAUGGUAGUGGUAGUGGUGCUGCUGUUGAGGCUAAUGAUGCUCCUCUUACCGUUUUUGAAACAACAAACCAUUAUGAUUAUGAUCAUACUGGUUGUAUAGAUUUUUCUCCAGAUUUUGCCACAUUUAGCGAAUAUUCUACGUGCAAAUGUCCACACUACAAGGCGAAACACGAUGGAGUGAUUAAUGUUAUUAAUGCACUUACUGCUUCUGUAAAGGAAAUGGCAUCUAAGAGGGGUGUCAUUCCAUCAAAGAGGAUUUCAUAUCCAUACACUCCACUAGAGAUCAAGGCAGCUAAGAGGAGAAGGAAAGAUACUUCCAAGGCAUCAUCAAGCAUCGAAAAAAGAAAAAUUACAAUGCCUCUGUCUUUAUCUUCCACCGAUGUUUAAUUUGCAAGGGCCACAAGAGAGAAGCAUGAACUGAAGAAGGUGAAUGUACAUCACCUGUUCCAAUAAACAAACAGGCACAUAUCUGUUUCAAUAGAUGAUACAUCUAUUAAAAAUUAUCAAAAAAAUAUAUACAUCUGUUGCAAGUGUUGUCUAACCUGUUGCAUCAGAUGCGUUAUCUGUUGCAACAAAUGAGUCUUAUGUUACAAUAGAUGAAUCAUCUGUUCGAAAUUAUCAUACUACUCUAAUUUAUCUUUUUGAAUUCAUCCCAACAGAUGAUCCAUCUAUUGCAACAUAAGGCUUAUCUGUUGUAACAGAUGGAUAAUCUGUUAUAUAUCUGUAAUUAGCAUUGUUAAUUUUGUCUUUCCAAGUGGAUAUCACAGUAGAAGCCACUGCUAAAGAGCAUAAUAUCACAGUUGAUAAUCAAUCAACUGCUUCCAAAGAAGAAGAAAAAGUGGAGCCUAUCAUUUCAGGAGAACAGAAGAAUUACCCAUUUGAAGGAUUCAACAUCUCGAACAAGGCUCCAAAAAAACUAACACAGUUGAUCAACGACUAUUCUGAAUGGAUUGUUGAUGGGCUGUUAAAGCAUCAUGCCAGCAGGUACAUAAAUUAAUUUUUAAAUAUAUUGGCUUAUGCUAUUCUUAUUGUAAGAAUGUAACAUUAACACAUAUAAAUCAUCAUGUAGAAAACAAAAUAAUGAACGCUACAAAGUGAACGAAUCGAGUCUUGGUUUUGAUAUGUUCGACUUUGUUGUUGUACAUCUCGGAAUAAAGAAUUGGUUCUAUUUGAUUUCACAGCCCCAAACUUGCUAGAAUGAUGAGGUUUAAAUGCCAUACAUAUUACUAUUAAUUAAUACUUUAUUUAAUUGCAUCUGCAUAUUAAUUUUUUUCACGUAAUCCGAAAUGUUUGAUAAUUUGUGCUGCACAUCUAUGUUAUUUUUUACUACCUCCGAAAGAAGGCAAAGUUGCAAACACAAGAACAAUACAGAUACACGAUAAGUAAUUGUUUGUACAAAGUUUACAUCAAUAAUGCCUACGAUAGAUAUUGUCAACAACAUCCAGGAGUUUCCCAAAAUAAGGAAUCCUUAAUUAACAUCAUCAAAGGUUUUAGCAUUCUAGCUGGCUUACCUUGAUAUUUGGUCGACGAAGUGUACAUCUCAAUCAAUUAUAGUGAUGAAUUCCAUUGGGUGUUGGCUGUCGUCGUUCUAAAAAAGAGGCGCAUCCGAGUUUAUGACUCGAUGUCGCGAAGGAGAUGUUUCGGGCCAUCGUUUGAGAUACAAAAACUGGCCAAAAUGUUGCCUACUUACCUUGAUAUGAGUGGUUUUUUGGAUCAAAAGGUUCGUAUUGAUUGGUCUACGAUUGAAGCAUACCGGGAUAAAAUGAGUAUCCAUUUGAUGUACAAUAUGUUGAAGGAAUUACUCAACAAACCAUUGGUAACCUUUAAGUUUAAGUUUCAUGAUUUUAUUUUAUUCCACAAAUUUCAUAACGCUUGUAUGAACUGCAAGAUAUAGAUUAUCUAUUUUUUUAAAAUGCAGGAAUUGAGGUCUUUUUGUUGUCGCGUACGCCGAGUAUUUGAGCGAUGGAUUACAAGUAACAAAUGAUGGACUUGAUGCCGGAUUACAACUCAAAAUAUAUUCUUCUCUUUUAUGUAAAUAUAGAGAAGCAAAAGCUCAAAAGCCGUACGUAAGCGACAUUAAAGAUCCACGUGACCCAAGCACCGGAUGAAGAACAACUUGUUCAUAUUGAGUAGAUCUUUAUAGCUUGAGUCUGUCAAUGUAAUAACCUAUCCUCUUUGGUUUAACUUGUUGAUUUAUUUGUAGAGUAGAUCAUUUGUACCUAUAAUGAUUUUUUUACAUUUCAUUUAUUUGUUGAGUUAUUUCAUAUAAUUUUCGAAGGCUUCAACUUAUUUUAUGCUGUCUAUGAAUAUAAUUUAAUUCUUAGUUCUGAACAUGUUAAUUGAAAUGGAAUACUAGAUUCAAAUAUUGCAACAGAUAAUACAUCUUCUGCAACAGGCGACAUAUCUUAUCAAACAGAUUUAGACAUAUGUUAUAACAUGAGAUGCAACACGUAGGUCAUCUGCUAUAAAUUAUAUAACAGGUCUUCCUACUUUCUUGAUUUGUUCCAACAGAUUACCUAUAAGUUGCAACAGAUAGAUUAUAUGUUGCAAAAAAUUAGAUAUCUAUUGCGACAGACAGACGGGGAAACAUCAGUAUAAUGCAACAGAUGACCAAUCUAUUCAAACAAAUAAUCAAUCUAUCACAACAAGUACUUAUCUGUUACAACAGAUAUACUAUCUAUUGCAUUAUAAAAAUUCAACCAUCCACAGACAUAAAUAUUAUUGCUACUAUAUGUAAAGUGAGGUGGCUUGAAAUAAAAAAUUAUUAUCGUGUUCGUCUUUGUCUUUGUACAUAUUCUUCUUUAUACACGGGCUCCAACCAUUUAGUUAGGUCAUCAAUUUGAAAUUAUAUAAUAGGUCUUUCUACUUUCUUAUUUUUUUCCAAUAGAUUACCCAUCAGUUGCAACAAAUAAAUUAUAUGUUGCACCGGAUUAGAUACUUGUUGCGACAGACAAACCAAAAAAUAUCUAUUAAUGUAAUAGAUGAACAACCUAUUCCAAUAGAUAAUCAAUUUGUCCCAACAAGUAUUAUAUCUGUUACAACAGAUAUACUAUCUAUUGCAUUAUAAAAAUUCAACAAUCCACCGACUUAAAAAUUAUUGCCACUACAUCUAAAGUAAAGUGAAGUGUCUUGAAAUGAAAAAAUGUUAUCGUGUUCGUUUUUGUCUUUGUACAUAUUGUUUUUUAUACACGAGCUCCAACCAUUUAGUUAGUACCCCAUAACCCCAAACCCAUUGCAUCUUUUCCACAAUGGUGUCACAUAUACCGGUCAUUUCUGUGCCGGUCAGUAAACACUCGAUGUACGCAAGCGAGUACGGCCCGCAUGCUGCACCGGUUUUAUUUUUUGAGAGCUCGAUGUUCUUAUUUCGACCUUCAAAAUUCCAUGAUUCCUUCAUCGAGACUUUAGCCGGCAAAUAAUCCAUCAGCUUACUCUACAUCAAUAACUUGGGCAACAACUUCAAGAGUGGCUGCAUAUGGGCUAAAAACAUGUCGUCGCUGAAGACAGGUAAGUUGCAGUCAUAAACCUUAAUCUUUCCCUCAUAGAGUAGUAUCUCAACAAUAAGAAAAUGUGUAACUUCCACGUUCAUGACUGCAAGGAUUCUCUUUGCCUUGGUCCAGCUCUUGCCGUGUGGAUAUGGACUCUUCCCUUUAACAUAUUUAAUCGCUUCUUCAUCCUAUUGGAACGUAGAAACUAACUUAUCAAAUCCCAGGCCAUCGCAAUCAGCUAGCUUAUGGAGAUCAGUGUACCUAUCCUUGAAACUAUUGUAGAAGUUGAGGUACAUUAUCCUAUCGGUAGCAUCAUAAGCAUCUGGGUACGCUAAUUGCCUGCCCCUCAUGAGGUAGAGAAUUUCAUCAACAUACUGUGGUAUAAGAAGACAAUUCUUAAAUAGGUUAUUAAUUGUAAAGAAUAAAAACACAGUGGAAAGAAUUUCAAGCGCAGGAUCAAGUACACAGGGGAUGAUAAAUAUCUGAAGGAGGAAAAAAAGAUGGAUGAAAUCUGGAUUAACUACUGUGGCAUAUCGGUUUGUUUUGGGUUGAAAGAGUUUGCCAUAGUGAUGGGCUUGAGAUGCAAUCGUCCAGAAGAACCUCUCAUCAAGGAAACACCCCACAAAGGGUCCAACAAACUCAAGGGGAAAAAGAUGCAUUAUUGGGCAUUAUUAGACGUAGUAGCUACAAAGCGAAGGAUUUUAUGGCAGAUCUUGAGGAUAAAGACAUAUCAAAGUACUGCAGGGAUAAAUUAUGCUUAGUUUGGUUUGUCCAUUUCGUUUUAUUGACAAGAGACGUCAGGAAAGUCAUAAAAGAUGAUUUGUUGGCGCUUGCUAAUGAUUUUGACAAAUUUAAUGACUAUCCUUGGGGAUAUGAUAGCUACUAAUUAACUGUCGAAUAUUUACUGACAAAGCUAUCCCCAAAGAAAAUCACAUUAUACGGCUUUCCCUAGGCUUUCAUGGUAAAACUGAUCACUAUUUUUACUCAUCCAUUAAUUUAUAAUGAAUAUACUUAUUAUGACCUUUUUUUGCUUGCUUCCUGUUUACAUUUUUUAGGCUUGGAAAUGUGAAGCCAUUCCUCCCCUCCGAAAGCAGUUCAAGAAUUACCCGGAUGAGGUUUCUCAUCCAAGGAUCCUUAGGUGGUUAGCGGCUACAAAGGGCAGCAAAAAAAAUAUUAAAGAGUAGGAGGCUAAUCUAUUUAACCCUCCGGAUAAUGCAGUACAUCUUCUUUCAACUAAAAUAAUUUGCCUCAAAGAAAAAUAUUAAAAUAGGUAUUCCAUCUGUUAUGACAGAUGGGUCGUAUGUUGUAAUAAACUACUCAUCAACUAUAAUUGGUGUAACAGAUGGGUAAUUUGUUGCAAUAGAUGAUCCAUAUUUUACUACAAAUUAAUCAUCUGUUGCUCUGGUUCCCUGAACCCGACUCAACAGAUUACCCAUCUGAUGUAAAUUAUGAAACAGAUGUGUAAUUUGAUGCAAUAUAUUGUCAAUUUGUUGUGACAUACAGAUCAGCUGUUGCGGUAGCUAGAUCGUCUGUUGCAUAAGUUGUCUGUGUUAACAUCCAUGUAACCCAACUAACUGCAAAUUAUUAUUAUAUAAUUUAAAUACCUCCUAUUUUUUUUAUAGGUUAUGCAUCCUUGGAUCGUUCCUACCAUUGAUAAGAUAGAGAUGACUUCUUUUCUUACUUUGGUUCUUGUUGAUACAAAAGAAGACCCAACAGUGGAGUUAAUAAAGAAGGAAUUGGCUGGAGCAACAUCCAUAAGAAGAGCAGUUAGGCAAGGUCAGCCUAAUGUUGAAGCUCUUCACGACCAACUUUAAACUGCAAUAGAUCCGGGUGCUUCUUCUGGGGGUAUUGCUGGUAGAGUUGUUUAUAAUGGUGGUAGCUAUCCUGAUGCUGCUACUGCUGCCAGUCGUGAUUAUGAGCAUGUUGUUUCUCAUUAAAAAAUAAAUAAUUUUGAAAAUACCCCAUGCACAGGUCCCUCCCAUCCCUACACAGGUCCUUUCUACCCUCACAGUGGUCCCUCUCACCCCUUCUUACCCUCAUGUUCUCAUUGCAAAGUGUGUAAGGAAAAAAGGAUAGACUUCUUAAAAAUCUAGAGGCUAUUGCUAAAGUUGCUGAGGAGUUGAAAUCCAGGAGGGGUGUCAUACCAUCCAACAAGGUGAGAGAGACAUGCACUCCUACAGUGGCGGUUAGGAGGAAGAGAAGAAAAAAUAAAAAAAUUCCCUCUGUUCUGAAAAAAACAAAAAUUGCAACUCCUUUCACUCCAAGAGUUGUUGAAGUUCAGGGGAGCCCUGAAGAAGGCGGACAUAUUUGCGGUGCUUGGCAAGGAGAAGAAGAAGAAACUGCAAGAAAUCAUGAAUGGCAGGACGAAGGUUCAAAAAAAAAUACACCAUGCAUUCAUUUACCGCCAAAGACUUCACGAAUAUGAGAAAUAUGUGUGAGUGGUACGAGGACAAUGUAAGUUUACUUUUGCUAACCUAGCCUCCCAAUUUACUCCACGAAGAAGAAUCUACGCAGUAGAUGUGUAAUCUAUUGCAAUAGCUUGGUAUUUUUUUGCAACAUAAUACACAUUUGUUGCAUAAGUUGUGUUGGUUGGGUAAUUUGUGAACUGAUUCAGAGAACCCUCUGCAUCGGAGAGUGCAGUCCUCAGGAAGCUCAAGAAAGUAUGCAAAACAGCUCUUGUUAAAAGGUCCGUCUAUGUUUUCAUUCUUUAUAAUUCUCCUUAAUUCAUCAAAAUAUUUCCCCAACUGACAUUUAAGUACAAGAUCACCAGUUACUUUGUCAGGGCUAUCCAUCGGUAUCGCAACUCGAAACCUAUUGAUACUAAUGGUUUUGAUAGAAUCAUGCUGGAUUCUGAUAUUAUUUCAUGCUCCAUUGGUGAGGAGUUAUCACUUUCCUCGGCUUCAUUUUGCUUGGUUGAGAUUGUUCAUAAAGUUCCUCCGAAUCUAUCUGUACUCUAGCACUUUCAGUUUCUUUUCUUUUGGGAGACAUCUUUUAACUACAAACAAUAGAAAAAUAAAAAAUACGUUGCAUUUGAUGUCUGCAUAAUUUUUUAUAAAAAAAAAAGGUAAGACAAAUUUCAAUAAAUUAUUCUACGCCACAUUACAAAAAAAAAUACCCCAACGGAUAAGCUAUCAGUUAAAAAAACAAAUAUCAACACCAAGACCACCAAUACCAACACCAAGACCACCGACACUACCACCAAAAACACAAAUAUCGACACCAACAACACCAUAAACACUAUCCAAUAAUACCACGAAAAUCAACAAAACACUGAGAUAAAAACUAGGUUUUUAUUGGGUGGUUCCUACUUUUUUAGCAUCAAAACACAAAAGUGUUAACCCAUUCUCGAAGAUAAUACAACUAAAAGUCUUCUUUUUUAUCAUUAACUAAAAAGCCCUAAUUUUUAGAAUAAAAAAGCAAAUGUAGAACUCUUCUCGAACUCCGUUACCUAUGAAGACAGAGAAAACGAUAGAUACAAGUGAGAAUGAAGUCAAAAUAACAACUAUGUGGUCGAAAAUGAGAAGAAAUCAAUCUAUUUUGAAGGGUUGAGCAAUAUGUUAAGUAGUUAUUGUCUGUAUUGUUAAGAGAGAGAGAGGGUAGUGAGAACUUGAGAUUUGAAUUGAGGAAAAGUUUUUCUGCAAAUGGAUGAUUUGUAUGAGUUGAUUUGUAAUUUUGAAAAAGAAUGACAAGUUUUGAAAAUUUUAAUUUGGUCCGAAUUGAUCUUAAUUAAUUUUUAAAAUUUCAAAAUAUAUGCUAGUUCUUAAAACAUUAAGUUAAUGAGAGGUUAUUUCAACUCAUAGUGAUCGAUCGACGACCCGGGUAGGAUGAAUGCAUUACCAACACCAUGCAAUUGUAAUGACUCAAUUGAAGUUGUAGUUGACCCUACAUUCAUUCAUCCCUAGUUCCACCUAAAUCAAUUUAGGUAAUAUUAAUUCUAAGAUUAAGUUAAUAAGAGAUCAUUUCAAUUCAGAGCGAUCGAUCGAUGACCUGGGUCGGGAUAAAUGCAAUAUCAAUGCCAUGCAAUUACAACGACUCAAUUGAAGUUGUUGUUGACCCUAUGAGCUCAUUCAUUCAUCCAUAGUUCCACCUAAAUUAAUUUAGGUAAUAUUAAUCCUAACAUUAAGUUAAUGAGAUCUUACUUCAACUCAGAGUGAUCGAUCAGUGACCUGGGUCGGGAUGAGCGCAAUACCAAUGCCAUGCAAUUGCAAAGACUCAAUUGAAGUUGUAGUUGACCCUAUGAGAUCAUUUAUUCAUCCCUAGUUCCACCUAAAUCAAUUUACAUAAUAUUAAUUCUAACAUUAAGUUAAUAAGAGCUCAUUUCAACUCAAAGAGAUCGAUCGAUGAUCUGGGUCGAGAUCAAUUCAAUACCAACGCCAUGCAAUUGCAAAGACUUAAUUGAAGUUGUUAUUGACCCUAUGAGCUCAUUAAUUCAUCCAUAGUUCCACCUAAAUCAAUUUAGGUAAUAUUAAUUCUAACAUCAAGUUAAUGAGAGCUUAUUUCAACUCAGAGUGAUCGAUCGAUGACCUGGGUUGAGAUGAACGUAAUACCAACACUAUGCAAUUUCAAAGACUCAAUUAAAGUUGUAGUUAACCCUAUGAGAUCAUUCAUUCAUCCCUAGUUCUACCUAAAUCAAUUUAGGUCAUAUUAAUCCUAACAUUAAGUUAAUGAGAGCCCAUUUCAACUCAGGGUGAUCGAUCGAUGAAUCGAAUCGAGAUGAACGCAUUACCAACACCAUGCAAUUACAAUGACUCAAUUGAAGUUGUAGUUGUCCCUAUGAGAUCAUUCAUUCAUAAAUAGUUCCAUCUAAAUUAAUUUAGGUAAUAUUAAUCCUAACAUUAAGUUAAUGAGAGCUCAUUUCAACUCAGAGUGAUCGAUCAACGAUUCGGGUUGGGAUGAACGCAAUACCAAUGUAUGCAAUUGCAAAGACUCAAUUAAAGUUGUAGUUUACCCUAUGAGCUCAUUAAUUCAUCCCUAUUUCCUUCUAAAUCAAUUUAGGUAAUAUUAAUCCUAACAUUAAGUUAAUGAGAGCUCAUUUUAACUCAGAUUGAUUUAUAAUCCAGGUUGGGAUGGACGCAAUACUAAUGCCAUGCAAUUACAGAGACUCAAUUGAAGUUGUAGUUGACCCUAUGAUCUCAUUCAUUCAUCUCUAGUUCCACCUAAAUCAAUUGCAAUAAAAUCUGUUGGAACAAAUGACUGAGCUGGAGGAAUUUUCUAAUAGAUAUUCACAUCUGUUGCAACAGAUGACAUAAUUGAUUUAAUUAUCAAAUAGACAUUUGAAUAUAUUAUGACAGAUGAAUGAGCUGUUGAAAAUUUUCAAACAGAUAUUGGUAUCUGUUGUAACAGAUGAUAUAUCUGAUUUAAUUAUCAAAUAGAUAUUUGCAUCUGUCGUCACAGAUGACUGAGUUGUUAGGAUAUUUAAACAGAUAGUGAUAUCUGUUGUAAUAGUUGACAUAUUUAAUUAUCAAAUGGAAAGUGAUUUUUAAACAAAUAUUUGUAUCUGUUGUAAUAGAUGACUGCGAUGUUGGAUUUUUAAGCAAUAUUGCUAUCUGUUGCAACAGAUGACAGAUCUGUUUGAAAAUCUUUUUUUCUUUAAAUUUUAAAGCAAGCUUCUGUUCGAGUAGAUAAAGUAGUAAGUAAAGUAAGUACUACAAAAUGAUGUAAAAAAUAAAGAGUUUCUUUUUCUUGGAUAACUCAAAAAUAUGUUCAUUGAGUAGUCUUAUCUUGUCUUUUCAAUGUCACUAGUCUUAUUCAGACCCCUCAAAUUAUUAAUGAAUAUUAAUUAUAUCAAUUAAUGAUUAUUGAAACCCACAUCUACGUACAUGAUACAUCUAUAAUUAUCUCAUCUCUCCUCAGCUUCAACCCUAAAUUUAUUUUAUUUAUCUCUCAUCUUUUUCUUUCUUUCUCUCCUCUUUAGCUUAGGGUUAUCACAACUAUUUUUCUCUCUUCUCUCUUUUCUCUUCUCUUUUUCAUAAAGAUCCUUUUGGAUCUAAACCGAUCUGUAUCUUUCCUUGACUAAAAUUGUUGUUUUAAUCCCCUUUUGACGUUAAGGUAUGGUUUACUUUUGAUUUCAUUCUCAUUUUCUUCUUUGCAAGUUAUUUACAUCUAUUUUUUAUUUAAUUACCAUUUACCCCUAUGAUAUUUAUUUAAAAAAUUUGAAUGAACUUUUAAGUGUUGAAUAAAUGAAUCGAGAAUUUGUAUUAUAAUAUGUGAAAAAAGUAUUUUGUUGGGAGAAGUUUAAAAGCCUUGUUGGUAGUAUUAUUUUUUUGUAUGUAUUUUAUUUGUUUCUUUGUUGUUUAUGCUGUUAUUGAUGUUGUUGGUAGGGUUGGCGUUAUUAGAAGUUGUGGUGUGUUGUUGUUGAUGGUGUUGGAACAAAGGAUAUUGAUUCUUUGUUGUUUAUGAUGUUGGAACACAUGUUGUUUCUUUGUUUUUUAUUUUAUUUGUUGUUUCUUUGUAGUUUAUACUGUUGUUGAUGUUGCAACAAACGGAGCAACUGUUGGAACAAAUCAAACCACCAUGAAGGUUGGUUUGAUGUAUUCCAGUAGACUCCAAAUCUGUUGUAACAGACUCCACAUUUGUUGCAACAGACUCCACAUCUGAUGCAACAGACUCUACAUAUGUUGAACAGAUGAAUAAUGUUCUUUUUGUGACAUUCAUUUUUUUUGUAUUCUUUAUAGAUAUAAGGAACUGACAAUUGAUCAACUUUUGCCUGACCAUCACAAGAGGCUGCAGUAAAGAUGGGUUUGGAGGAAUAAGUUGCAUACAGAUGGAAUCACUUCAUAUAUGAGAGGCACGUAUUAUUGAUAAUAUUAUCGUGGAAACACACAUAGAGUACACUAAUUUUGUGAAUGUUGUUUUUACCAAUUAGUCAUAGAUCAUUCAAAUAAGAUAUCAUUAAUUUUACAGUUAAGUUUGGUAGGUCCGAAUUAAUAAGGCUGAGGGACCAUGAAUAUGGUUCUGAUACCUUGUUAAGAUUUAAUGUUGGUUUUUGCUCAUGUUUAUUUGUCAAGCAUUGUGAAAAGAUCUAGUUUUGGUGUCAUUGUAAAGAGAUUUAAUAGCGAUUGGAGUAACUUUUAGGAUACAUUGGACUCUGAGAAGACCUUUGACGCCUAGCACUGUGUAAUGCCCCGAAUCUAGUACCCGGAAUGCUAUACGGUGCUCAUGACCAUGAAGGACCAAAAGCUAACCUAUGACUGAUAUCUGUACCUGAACACUGUAUAAUAUACUGUAUAAAUGCAAAAAUAAAGACAGAAAGGCCAUAAGGUUCAAAACUAAGACAUAAUAUCUGAUAAAAUAUAACAUCUGGGUGGGGGUAUGAAAUACCCAAAACACUGAAAUAAACUGUUUAAACAUGAUAGUCUGAAAAGCCUCUAACUGCUGAAUAAGGAGUUGAUGGGACAUGUCCCCAACUAACUCCAACUACUGAAAUAAACUAAGUACUGAAAUGAUAAAAUAAUGAUCAUGUUCUCGAAGGAAGAGGACUCACUACUGAGUAUUGGAAUACCACUGAUGCUCUAGAGCUCGUGCUUCUGAACCUAUGUUAUAAAAUACCAUAUCGCAAAUGCAUCAGUACGAUUAAAUAUACUGGUAUGCAUAUGAGAUAGGAUGAAUGCAAAAGGGUUCACAUGCAUGAACCACACCAACUGACUGGAUAAUAUGAAUGUGAGAAUACAUGCAUGAAUACAUAAUAACUGUAACUGAGUUCAUGAUAGCAUGAUUACUGAGUCUGAGUACUAAUGACAUGAGAUACUGAUAACUGUAUAACUAAAAUAACUGAUACUGAAUGACUGUAUCAGACAGUUUAGGUUCUUGAUGGAACUAGCUGAGUUCUGUAAUGUUCUGAGUUGACUGUAUCUAAUAGUCCUGAAUUCUAUAGAACUAUUUGAGUUCUAUUAUGAAGACUGAAUGAUUGUAUCUGACAGUCCUGAUUCUCUAACUGAAAUUAUAGAAAGUAGUCAUCUAACCAACAUCCCCCAAAUAAUGCAUUAUAGCUGAGUUGGGGUCCAAUCUGUAACCCCAAUUGAAAGGCUGUCAAUACCGCACCACUGGUAAGGAUAAGCUAUGGGUAACCCUGAUCUGACAGUGUCCCUAAAAGAGAAUGGUGGGUCCCUCAUCUGACAGCGCUUAUCCACCUCAUCAACCCUCAUUUGACAGUGUCGAUGUCUCAACCUAUGCUGGAUACAUAGUUCUGGAAUGCAAGGAUUGCUUCUAAGAAUCACACCCUCAUCUGACAGUGUGUGUUCCCAUACUUGGGUUCACUCGGUGCUAAUUUAUACUCCCAUUAAAAUAGACACUGAACAUGAUUAACUGAAUGGACUACACUGAAUUCAUGGAGUUUCGUUAACUGACGGAAUGCUAUUGAGAUUACUAAAUUACUGGGCUUUCCCGAGUCACAUGAUCGACUGAGUUCUAUGGAUCAUGGCUUGACUGAGGAUAUAGUGAAAACAUGACACUGGCUCUAGGCACACAACUUAAUUGUCAGCUAUAAGUACCCCCAAGACUCGAUAGCAUAAAAGUAAUUCAUGGCAUGAAUUCUAAAGAACAACAAUGUCUAUACAUAUAUCCAUAAUCCAUUGAAUAAGAUAUUUCAUCAAACACUUGACAUGCAUGAACUUUUAUAUGAAUGGGGAUUUCACAUUAUCAUACUAAUAUGGCACUUUUCCCUUCACAUAGGUAUUUAAUCAAACAUAUGGGGAGCAUGCUUUAAUCAUCAACACAUCUAAUAAUCAUGGGUACAUCAAUCAACUUGUAAAUUGAAGGGUUUAUCAUGAAUAUUGGGCAAAUCAUCACAUAUUAGAAUCAAUUCUUGUAAUUAAUAGUCUAUAACAUGGAAUGAAACCAACCAACAACAUGAACAUCAAUUUUCAAUUCAAUUAAAUUGUGAACAUUCAUAAAUAUUCGAACCUUGGAUUUUGAAAAGAGAUUAUUGAGCUUCAUGGGUGAAAGAGACCCAUGAAUCAACAUAUGACAUACCUGAGCUAAUGAAUUUGGAAGGAUUGAUGGAGAUUUCUUGUGAUUUGGCCCUUGAAUUUGAGAGCUAGGGUUUCUUGGCUUGAGAGAGAGCAACUCAAUUUGGGAAAAAUAGAGUGAAUAAUGAUAUCCUUAGGUCACGUAGGGGUAAAUUUCGUGUUUAAGGCUGAACUAAAAUCAUGGGACAAGACCCAUUUAACCCUGGAUGUGUAUUUUAAUUUUUGUGAAAAUUUCCCAACUUGGACCCCUGGCGCGAUGCGGCGCUAUUGCGCCAUGUCACUAGAAUUUGACAAUUGGGAAAUUGGACAAUGGCGCAAUGCGGGGACAUCGCGGAGCUUCACUGAAAUUUAACAAUUGGGAUUUAGGAGCUCUCUGUGAUGCGGUAAAAUCACAGAGCCUUACUGGAAAUUGACGAAUGUUAUUUUGGCUUAUGGCGCGAUGCGCUACUGACUGAGAUGACGAUGUUUUAUGACUAAAACUUGAAAUAGUCAUAACUUCUUACCCAGUUAUCGGAUUUAGGCAAAUCUUAUAUCAAUGGAAAGCUUAUUGAAUUUCCUACAUGAAAAAAAGUGAAAAUCUUGAAAAUUCCCCAUGGAAUAAAUAUCAUUCGAUUUAGAAGUUAAUACUUGACAUUCUUGAGACAAAAUUAAUUAGGAAACUUCGGGGUAUUACACACUGCAUCUAACAAGAACGAAAAAUCAAUAUAGUUAUUGCCCUAGCCCAAAUUUAUAUGGUUAGGUUGCUCGGGGUGACGAUUAUACGCCAAUAGGUGCGAUAGAAGAAUGACUUCAAGGGAAAAUGGGUGAUUGAUAAAAGACUAUAUCAUCUAAGAUCUAAUUGAAGAGGAUACAUAGGGUAGAAAGUAACUUCUAGUGAAUCUGGCCGAUGAAAUUAUCUUAAAACAUGAGAAAUAUGUAUCAAGUGCAAAGAUGAAAGUGUAUCCAGUAAUGAAAAAUUCAUCUGUUGUCUCUCUGAAAGAAAAAUAAUGCAGAUGGUCACUUUUCUAGGGAGCUGCGACUAGGUAGCAUGGUCAGGAUUAUCACCUAGAUAGAAAAUAGUAGAAGACCAAGAAAGGAGCUUUGAGGGCAUCGAGGGUUAAAAUAUUUUACAAUAAGUCUAGAAACUUCCGCCAGUAGCAACUACAAUUAAAGUAAGGAGUCUAAGCGAAGGCGACAAUUUCUAAAUUAGUGGAGAAUAGGUAAGGAUACUUGGUACUCAUGUAUGCUUCUGCUUCCCAAGUAGCUUCCUCAACGGACUGAUUUCUCUAAAAAACUUUGACUAGAGACACUUCUUUGUUCUCCAGUCUACGAGUUUGAUAGUCAAGAAUUUUGAUCGGAAUCUCUUCAUUCCCUUCAUGGGAGAGAUCUUUAGAUAGACAUAGUCAAAAAUCUCGAACUUGAGAUAAUAGAUAGCAGAACACCGUGCAAUCUAACCAACUCUCUAAUGUAGAGUUUAGCAUAAUCCUCGGCUGAAUAAAAGGUAUGACCUGAAAGGAAAUAAGCUGACUUGAUCAUUCUGUCUAUAAGGACCCAAACUAAAUCAUGCUAAUGAUGAGUACGAGGAAAACUCAUCAUGAAGUCCAUGUUCACUUCAUCCCACUUUCAAGUAGGAAUGUUGAACUCUUACAUGGACCUACUAGAGUUAUGAUGCUCUAUCUUAACUUGCUGACAUAUAGAGCACUUAGCUACAAACUCUACAAUAUCUCUCUUCAUCCCACUCCACCAAUAGAUCUCCCAUAAGUCACGGUACAUCUUUGUGGCCCCUGGCUGAAUAGAGUAGCGCACAACAUGCGCUUUUUCAAGAAUUUACUGCCUCAAUUCGUCUACACCUGGAACAAACAGACAAUCCUGACAAUGCAAUACCCCAUCUCCCCCUUGAGAGAAAACCUCAACUUUCUUAUCCUUGACUGACUCUUUCAACUUGACAAGGCUGGGAUCUCUAUCUUUUUUUUCUUUCACCUCAAAAACUAGAGAUGAUUCUAAACUACUAUGAACCCAUAUAUCACCCUCUUCUGUAUCGACUAAGCGAACACCUAGUCUAGCAAGCUGAUAGACUUCCUGAGUUAACUUCUUCUUACUGUCCUCAAUAUGAGCAACACUAUCCAUAGACAGUCUACUGAGAGUGUCAGCCACUACAUUGGCCUUGCUCGAAUGAUAAAGUACACUCAUGUCAUAAUCUUUCAAGAGCUCUAACCACCUUCUCUGACGAAGAUUGAGAUCUCUAUGAGAAAAGACAUACCGAAGGCUCUUAUGAUCUGUGAAUACAUCUAUAUGAACUUCAUAUAGAUAAUGCUUCCAAAUCUUUAAGGCAAAAACUAUAGUGGCUAACUCAAGAUAAUGAGUAGGAUAAUUUUUCUCAUGGGGUUUAAGUUGCCUAGAGGUGUAGGCUAUGACCUUACUAUGCUGCAUGAGUACACAACCCAAACCUACUCUAGAUGCAUCACAGUACACUAUGAACCCAUCUGGAAGAGCCAAAACUGGAGCUGAGAUGAGUCGAGUCUUCAACUCCUAAAAACUCUUCUUGCAAGGAUCUGACCACUGAAUUUUGACUUUCUUAUGAGUCAAUCUAGAUAUAGGGGAUGUAAUAGACCAAAAUCCCUCAACAAACCAUCUGUAAUAGCUAUCCAAACCCAAGAAACUCCUGAUAUUGGAUAGAAAUAUAGGGCGAGGCCAGUUUCUUACUGCUUUGGUCUUUUGAGGAUCUACUCUAAUGCCAUCACCAAAAAUGAUGUGACCAAGGAAUGCUACUGACCUUAGACAAAAUUUGCACUUACUGAAUUUGGCAAACAACUGAGAUCUCUGAGAGUCUGAAGUAUGAUUCUAAGAUGGUCUGCAUAAUCAUGCUUACUGCGGGAAUAGACAAGGAUGUCAUUGAUAAAGACUAUGAUAAAUAUGUCCAAGUACUGCUUGAACCUAUGGUUUAUCAAGCCCAUAAAAGCUGCAGGGACAUUAGUAAGACCAAAACACAUGACUAAGAAUUUGAAGUGACCAUACUGAGUUUGGAAAGCUAUUUUCGGAACAUCACAUUCCCUGACUCUAAACUGAUGAUAGCCUGAUCUGAGGUCUAUCUUAGAGAAAUAGGUGGCACCCUAAAGUUGGUCAAAAAAGUCAUUGAUUCUAGAAAAUGGAUACUUGUUCUUGACCAUGACUUUGUUAAGCUGACAGUAAUCAAUACACAUCUUGAGAGAACCAUCUUUCUUUCGCAUGAAUAAGACUGAUGUACCCCAUGGGGAUACACUGGGUUUAAUGAAUCCCUUAUCUAGGAGAUCCUUCAAUUGUUGUUUCAGUUCUUUGAGUUCUGUUGGUGCCAUUCUAUCUGGCAGAAUAGAUAUAGGAUGAGUAUCUAGAAGAAAAUCAAUGUCAAAGUCUAUUUCCCUUUCGAGAGGAAUUCCUGAAAGAUCUUUGGGAAAUACAUCUAAAUAUUCGUUCACUACUGGGACUGAUUCAAGACUGGGAGUCUCAGAACUAGAAUCCUUAACAUGAAUAAGAUGAUAUACACAUCCCUUAGGUAUCAUUUUCUGUGCCUGAAGGUAGGAAACAAACUGAACUCUGAAAGCUUAAGUACUACCCCUCUACUCUAGGACAGGUUCAUUCAGAAAUUAAAACUAGACAACUCUAUUUCUGUAGUUGACUGUGGCAUUGCAGGAAUAAAGCCAAUUCCUACCAAGAAUGAUAUCAAAAUCAAUCAUCUCUAAUUUAACUAAGUCUGCUGAGGUGAUUUUCUAAAUUAUCAUAACUGGGCAGUUCCUAUGAUGGUUUUGCCCACUAGGGUAGAGACUAAAAAGGGCUCUGCUAAAAUUUUAGGACUGAUUUCAGAAUUUCCUGCUAUAUAUGGAGUAACAAAACACAAAGAGGAUCCUAGAUCUAGAAUAGUGUAAACAUGCACAUGAAAGAUCUGUAACGUACUAGUAACUACAUCAGGAGAAUUUUCCUGAUCUUACCGGGACUGGAGAGCAUAAAGUUGAUUUGGGUGUUUCCCACUAGUAGCACUAGUGGUAGAACCCUGCUGAUUUAGGCGACUGGACUAGGCUGAGGAAUGGUUAUGCUGACCCAGAUACCCUGACAGGGGAAAAUCUCUGGCUCUGUGUCAUGGCUUGCCAUAUCCGAAACAGACAUCGCUACCAGCUCUGCAAGCACCUUUAUGGUUCUUACCAAAAGUCUAACAAAGAGGAUUAGUUCGGGCAUUGAUGACACUGCUCUGAGACUUAGAUCCUAGCACUCUAUCUCUAUUACCAUCCCUAAACUUAGGAGCUGCAGCACUAGUUGAAGAAAGAGCUGGAAUUGAUGACUUAGGACAAAACUGAGAAUAGUUUACUCUAUCUGAUUUUGGCUGAGAAAAGUUGAAACUACCUGUCUUGCUUACUUAUUCUACUUCUCCCUCAUCUUUAUCUUCUACUCUUCUAUCUGUUGAGCAUGAGUCAUAAGCCUGGCUAAAGUCUUAUCACUAUUCAAUAUCGUAGACCUGUACUCAUUGAACACAUUAUCAUUCACCCCAAAAACAAACUUACUUAUCUUGGCCCUGGUAUCUGCUACUACAUGGGAAGCAUAUCUGGCUAAUUGAGUAAACUUAAAAGAAUACUCUUUCAUCAUCAAGUUGCCCUACCUGAGGUUGAUAAAUUCUAACACCUUAGCUUAUUUUAGCUCUUGAGGAAAGAAUCUAUCUAAGAAUGCCGUAACAAACUCCUACCACUCAAUAGGUCCUACAUCAACUGACCUCUCUGACUUUCACUAUUUGUACCAAGUGUGAGCAACAUCCUGCAACUGAUAUGCAGCUAGCUCAUCACUCUUACUAGAAGUAACCCCCAUGAUGUCUGCAAUAUUCUGAACCUAAUCGAUGAGUUCCUGAGGGUCCUCAUCUGAUUAGACCCAAAAAAGGAUGGAAGAUUCAUUCGGGUUAAGUCCUACAUCCUGGCUACAACUGAAUUGGACACUGGGUUGGCCGGAACGACAACUGGUUGUUCAUUAUGAGCAGCAACUGAGUUAGCAAGAGUAGUGAAUGCAGCUUAGAACUCUGCAUAAAAAACAUGUUCGCCCAAAGGAUCUUCGGGUUGAGGGGCUGGCUGAUUCCUAUUUCUUUUUUUGGAAGGCAUGUUCUAUAGAAGAAAGGGAGAAAUAGAUUAGACUGAGAGAUUAACUUGAGAUUAUUUUCACUGGCACGACAUGAAUACUGAAAAAAGGGAAACUGUUCCUAAAACAUCUCAUAGCCUCCUGUACAUAAAUGUGAUGCACAACACACCCAUGUACAAGACUCUAAUAGAUGUGGAUUUCAGACUUCCUAGGACUCUAUUGAACCUUAGGAUCUAGUACCAAGUUUGUAACGCCCCGAAUCUGGUACCCAAAAUGACACACGGUGGUCAUGACCCUAAAGGACCACAAGCUAACCCAUGACUGAUAUCUGUACCUGAACACUGUAUAAUAUACUGUAUAAAUGCAGAAAUAGAGGCAGAAAGGCCAUAAGGUUCAAAACUAAGACACAAUAUCUUAAAAAAUAUAUCAUCUGGGUGGCGUAUGAAAUACCCAAAACAUUGAAAUAAACUGUCUGAAUAUGAUAGUCUAAAAAGCCUCUAUGUGCCUAAAUAAGGAGUUGAUGAGAUAUGGCCCCAACUAACUCCAACUACUGAAAUAAACUAAGUACUGAAAUGAUAAAAUAAUUAUCAUGUCCUCGAAGGAAGAGGACUCACUACUGACUCUGACUCUGACUACUGAGUACUGGAAUACUACGAUGCUCUAGAGCUUGUACUUCUGAAGCUAUGGUAUAAAACACCAUAGCGCAAAUGCGUUAGUAAGACUGAAUGUACUAGUAUGCAUGUGAGGUAGGCUAAAUACAAAAGGGUUCACAUACAUGAACUACAUUAACUGGUUGGAUAACAUGAAUGUGAGAAUACAUAAUAACUGUAAUUGAGUUCGUAAUAACAUGAUUACAAAGUCUGAGUAAUGAUGACAUGAGAUACUGAUAACUGUAUAAUUGAAAUAACAAAUACUGAAAGACUGUAUCUGACAGUCUAGGUUUCGAUGGAACUAGCUGAGUUCUGUACUAUUCUGAGUUAACUAUAUCUGAUAAUCCUAAAUUCUGUAGAACUAUUAGAGUUCUGUUACGAAGAUUGAAUGACUGUAUUUGACAGUCCUGAUUCUGUAACUGAAACUGUGGGAGUAGUCAUCUAACCAAUAUGCCCCAAAUAAUGCAUUAUAAUUGAGUUGGGGUCCAAUCUGUAACCUCAAUUGGAAGGGUGUCAACACCACGCCACUGGUAAGGACAAGCUAUGGGUAACCCUCAUCUAACAGUGGCCCCAAAUGAGAAUGGUAGGGCCCUUAUCUGACAGUGCUUAUCCACUUCAUCAACCCUCAUAUGAUAGUGUCGAUGUCUCAACCUAUGCUGGCUACAUAGUUCAGAAAUGUAAGGAUUACAUCUAAGAAUCACACCCUUAUCUGACAGUGCGUGUUCCCAUCCUUGGGUUCAAUCGGUACUAAUUCCUACUCCCAUCUGAAUAGACACUGAACAUGAUUAACUGAACUGGACUACACUGAAUUCAUAGAGUUUCAUUAAUUGCUGGAAUGCUAUUGAGAUUACUGAAUUACUGAGCUUUCCUGAGUCACAUGACUGACUAAGUUCUAUGGAUCAUGGCUUGACUGUGGAUAUUGUAAAAACAUAACAGUGGCUCUAGGCACACAACUUAAUUGUUGGGUACAAGUACCCCCAAGACUCGAUAGCAUAAAAGUAAUUCAUAGCAUGAAUUCUAAAGCACAACAAUGGCUACACAUAUAUCCAUAAUCCAUUGACUAAGGUAUUUCACACAAACACUUGACAUGCAUGAACUUGUAUAUGAAUGGGGAUUUCACAUUAUCAUACUAGUAUGACACUUUUCCCUUCACAUAGGCAUUUAAUCAAACAUAUGGGGAGCAUGCUUUAAUAAUCAACACAUCUAAUAAUCAUGGGUACAUCAAUCAACUUGUAAAUUGAAGGGUUUAUCAUGAAUUUCGCAUAAAUCAUCACAUAUUAGAAUCAAUUCUUAUAUUUAAUAGUCUAUAACAAGGAAUGGAACUAACCAACAACAUAAACAUCAAUUUUUAGUUCAAUUAAAUCAUGAACAUUCAUAAAUAUUCGAAUCUUGGAUUUUGAAAAGAGAUUAUUGAGCUUCAUGGGUGAAAGAGACCCAUGAAUCAACACAUGACAUACCUGAGUUAAUGAAUUUGGAUGGAUUGAUGGGGAGUUAUUGUGAUUUGGCCCUUGAAUUUGAGAGCUAGGGUUUCUUGGCUUGAGAGAGAGCAACUCAAUUUGGAAAAAAUAGAGUGAAUAAUGAUAUUCUUAGGUCACGUAGGGUCAAAUUUUGUGUUUAAUGCUGAACUAAAAUCAUGGGAAAAGACCCAUUUAACCUGCACACAUCUUUUAAAUUUUGUAAAGAUUUCCCGACCUGGACUCCUGGUGCGACGCGGUGCUAUCGCGCCGUGUCAUUGGAAUUUGACAAUUGGAAAAUUGGACAAUGACGCGACGCGGGGACAUCGUGGAGCUUCAUUGGAAUUUGGCAAUUGGGAUUUGGGAGCCCUCCAUGAUGCAGUGAAAUUACAGUCUUACUGGAAAUUGACAAAUGUCAUUUUGGCUUAUAGCGCGAUGCGCCACUGACUGAGAUGACGGUGUUUUAUGAUUGAAACUGGAAAUGGUCAUAACUUCUUACUCUGUUAUAGGAUUUAGAUGAAUCUCAUAUCGAUGGAAAGUUUAUUGAAUUUUCCACAUUCAAUAAAAACAUUUCUAGAUGAUUCAUCUUACAUCGGAUUUAGAUGAAUUAUCUAAAAUCCCCAAAAUUGGUACAUUUUUAAAAACGUUACCCCAUAAAUAUUUAAAUCUUAGGGUUUUAGUUUAGCAGGCAACUUUUAUUUCAAACUUACUCGAUCACCAUUCAUAUUUUUCUUCGUGGAUUCAAUUUUGACUCUUGUUGGGUUUAUAUUGACAAUGACCACCUUCCAUGUAAUUUGAUUUGUAAGUUGAGCGUUAUAACUUUUCUAAAAAGCCUUCCAAAAGUGGGAGGUAAAUUGGGUACCCAAUCAGAAAUGAUAGUCAACGAGACUCAAUGUAACUUUACCAACUCUCUUAGAUAGAGUCUAGAAAAAUCCUCAGCUGAAUAUGAAGUAUUAACUAGUAGAAAAUGGGAUAACUACGUCAAUCGGACUACAACAACCCAAAUAGAAUCAUUUUGUCGUCGCAUGUGAGGCAACCCUAUAAUAAAGUCCAUAUUUACCACUUCCCACUUCCAAGUGGGGAUACGAAAAUCCUAAAGUGUACCACUGGGUAUCCAUUGCUCAACAUUAACCUGCUGGCAAUUAUAACACUUAUCCAUGAAUUCCACAAUAUCCUUCUUCAUAAAAUUCCCUAUGGAAUAAACAUCAUUUUGAUUUAGAAGCUAAUACUUGACAUUCUUGGGAUGAAAUUAGUUAGAAAACUUCAAGGUAUUACACACUGUAUCUAACAAGAAUGGAAAACCAAUAUAGUUAUUGCCCUAUCCCAAAUUUAUAUGGUUGGGUUGCUCGGGGUGAUGAUUAUCUGCUUGUAGGUGUGGUAGGAGUAUUACUUCAAGGGAAAAUGGGUGAUUGAUGAAAGGCUACAUCAUUUGAGAGCUAAUUGAAGAGGAUACAUAGGGUAGAAAGUAAUUCUAGUGAAUUUGGCCGAUGAAAUUAUCUUAAAACAUGAGAAAUCUAUAUCAAGUGCAAAUAUGAAAGUGUAUCCGGUAAAGAAAAAUUCAUCUAUUGUCUCUCUGAAAGAAAAAUAAUAUAGAUGGUCACUUUGCUAGGGAGCUGUGACUGGGUAGUUUGGUCAGGAUUAUCACCUAGAUAGAAAAUAACAGAAGACCAAGAAAGGCUCCUUGAGGGAAUUGAGGGUUGAAAUGUUGUACAGUAAGUCUAGAAAACUUUCGCCAAUAGAAACUGCAGUUAGAGUAAGGAGUCUAAGCGAAGGCAGCAAUUUCUGAAUUUUAAAUUGCAUCCCAUGCCUUCUUGUUUGUGGUUCCAAUUAGGUUCACUACUGUUGACCUGAUCGAAACAACAAAUGAGAGUGAAAGGAAAAUUGAGUAACAUCACUUCAAUAGCAAUAUGGUUAUAAUUGAUUGUGUUUUAUAGCCUUAGCAUGCUUUCAACAUUUCUUGGAGAAGAUUAGAGGCUUGCUCUAGUUUGUGAAUUUCGAUAAUUUUCAAGCUUGCCUCCAACUUGCUGAUUCUGUAUUCAAGUUGGUUAUUGCGGUCUUCGAAGUUGGUCAAAAGUUCUUGAUCUCUUGUGAUCUUAAUCAGGAACACCACCUUCAAAGUUGUGUCAUUUAAGAAUGCCUUCAGAACACUUUCUUCAGAAGCCUUAAAGGAUACACAGAGGGCUGCUAUGUUUAUUUUAUGUCAAAAUAUGUUGAUGCACACUUAAGAUGUGGUCCCAGCAGUUGAACAACACACUUUUAUCAAGCGUUGUUCAAUGCAGCUUGCUCGACCAAUUUGAUAAAUUAAUAAGCAAGGAGUUACGUAGCAUGUGUCUAAACCAACUCUACCAAGCCUAUCAAAUGUUAGGUAACUCCUGGCUUAUUACCCUAUCAUAAAAUUUUGACAGAGUUAGUGCACAAAUCAAACAAGCUAAAUCUCUUAGCCUUUCUGUUGGUCCCUCUUCUCCAAUUAUAAUGAUAAAAUAUCUGCUAUGCAAUAGUCUACACCAUCGCCAGAAAUGCUUGCCAAGGUGCAAGUCUUCAGAUGGUAUCAUUAUUAAUCUCUUAAUAUCAAGUGAUAUUGAGAGAUUCCUAGUCAUGCCUUUCCAAGACUUUUGCUACUGUAAGAAUUUCUGCUAAUGACAAGAUAUUCGCCAUGCAAAAGUCUACACCGUCAAUAGAAAUUCUUCACAGAGAAAAAGUCUUCAGAAGACAUUAUUAAUAAUCUCUCAAUAUCAAGGAAGUCUUGUAUGAAAUUCUUCAGAAGACAUUCAAAAUAAGAAAGUUUUUAGCAAUGACUACCUACUGAUUAUUAUCAACAACCUCACCAGAUUCACUCCUCGUCCAAAAGAAAAGGAAGAAAUAUUUUCAUUUGCAUUCGCAUGUUAUUUAUUUAUCAAACCAAAAAAAGUUGAAUUAAAUGCUAGAUUUAGUUCAUCUUUAUUAGGUUUGUAAAUAAAUAACAUGCGAAUACAAAUGAAAAUAUUUUGGCCUUUUCUUUUAUACAAGGAGUGAAUCUGGUGAGGUUGUUGAUGCCGUAAUUAUUUGUAGUCAUUGCUUAAAAGUUUAUUAUUUUUGAUUGUCUUCUGAAGACUUUCGUGCAAGACUUUCUUGAUGUUGAGAGAUUACUAAAAAUGACUUCUGGAGACUUUUGCUAUGGCAAGAAUUUUCACUAACGGUAUAGACUUUUGCAUGGCAGAUAUCUUGUUAUCAGCAGAAAUUCUUUCCGUAGUGAACGUCUUGAGAAGGCAUAAAUAGGAAUCUCUCAGUAUCACUUGAUAUUGAGAGAUUACUAAUGAUGUUAUCUGAAAACUUGUGCCCUGGUAAGCAUUUCUGGCAAUGGUGUAGACUUUUACAUAGCAGAUAUCUUGUCAUCUAUAAUUGGAGAAGAGUGAUCAACAGAAAGGCUGAGAGAUUUAGCUUAUUUGAUUUGUGCACUAACUCUAUCAAAUUUUUUUGAUAGGAUAAUGAGCCUGUAGUUACGUAAUGUUUGAUAGGCUCGGUAGAGUUGAUUUAGAUCAUACGCUACGUAACUCCUUACUUAUUAAUCUAUCAAAUUGGUUGAGCAAGCUGCAUUGAGAAAUGAUCGAUAAAAGUAUGUUGUUUAACUGUUCGGACUACAUCUUCAAUGUGCAUCAACAAAUUUUGACCUAAAAUAAACACAAAGACCCUUUGUGUAUCCUUUAAAGCUUCUGAAGAAAGUGUUUUGAAAGCCUUCUUCAAUUCCACAACUUUGAAGGUAGUGUUCCUGAUCGAGCUCACAAGAGAUCAGGAAAUCUAUACUAACUUCAAAGAUGGCAAUGAACAGCUUGAAUAAGAAUCAUCAAGCUGGAGGCAAGGUUGAAAAUUAUCGAAAUUCACAAACUAGAGAAAACCUCUGAUUUUCUCCAAGAAAUAUUGAAAGCAUGAUAAGGAUAUAAAAUACAAUCAAUUAUAACCAUAUUUGCUAUAGAAGUGAUGAUACUCAAUUUGCCUUUCAAUCAAGUUUGUGGUUACAAUCAGGUCAAUAAUAGUGGACCUAAUUGGAUCCAUGAACAAGAAGGCAUGGGAUGCAAUUUAAAAUUUAGAAAUUGCUGCCUUUACUUAGAUUCCUUACUUUAACUGCAGUUGCUAUUGGCGGAAGUUUUCUAGACUUACUGUACAUCAUUUCAACCCUCGAUGCCCUUAAGGCUGCUUUUGUCAUUUUCUUCCAUUUUUUAUCUAGGUGAUAAGCCCGACCACGCUACCUAGUCUCAUCUCCCUAGCAAUGUGUCCAUUUGGAUUAUUUUUUUUAGAGAGGCAACAAAUGAAUUUACAUUACCGGAUACACUUUCAUAUUUGUAUUUGAUUCAGACUUCUUAUGUUUUAAGAUAAUUCCAUCGGGCAGAUUCGCUAGAAGUUACUUUCUACCCUAUGUAUCAUCUUCAAUUAGCUCUUAGAUGAUAUAGUCUUUCAUUAACUCCCCUUUACCUCGCAGGCAUUCUCUUUCGGCUCCUUCUGGCGUGUAAUCAUCUUCUUGAUCAACCCUUCCAUAUAAAUUUGGGCCAAGGUAAUUUUGAUUGGUUUCCUAUUCUUGUUUGAUGAAGUGCGAGGCUUCAAAGAUGUUCUCAGAGUCCAAUGCACACUUAAAUUUAAGUCCAAUCAUUAUUGGUUCACUGCAAUGACACCAAAUAUUGAUCCCUUCUCAAAACUUGACACGCAUAAACACGAGCAACAACCGUCAGUAGUUUGUAACAGGGUAUCUGCACCAUCUUUAUGAGACCCUCAGCCUUAUCAAUUUGAACCCAUCAAACUGAACUGUACAAUGCAGGAUCUUGUUUGAAUGAUAAGUGCCUAAUGGGUUAAAAACUGCAUUUACAAAAAUAUUGUACUUUGUGUGCUGUCCUGGUGACCUUAUCAGUAAGACUUCUUAACUCACACACAUAUGAUAGUGGAUCCAUCUACCCGCACUUUAUUCUUCCUAGCCCAUUUAUGGCUUAAAUUGAAUAAAAAGAUGACUAAAAAGUUGUAAUAGAUGCCACAUCUGUUCGAAAAGCAAACUGAUAUAUCCAUCAUUUGUACCAAAUUGUCAAUAUGUUGUAAGUUAUCGGACAGAUGAAAUAUAUUUUGCAACAGAUUAUCCAUCUGUUAGAUUUAUUUUAAAGAAAUUCUUUUCUUUCUGAAAUACAAUAAAAAGAUAAAAUGUUGUAUUUAGAUCUAUUUUUUUUAAUUUACAUAUUCAAAAAGUCACCAGUUUUAUUUAAUUAAGGGAUAUGAACAGUCGUGGCUUUUUGUUUGACUAACCCCUUCCAAUUCAAUUAUUUAUAAAUAUGUCCCUCCUUACUCGUUCAUUCUACUACACUUAUAAAUAUGGAUGAUCCAGAUUCGUACAAGAAGAUUCAUAUCAAGUCCUUGCAGGAACUUCGAAGGCAAUUUGAUGAACUCCAGAGGGAUUUGGCCGACUUCGGAGCAAGGUUGAGGAGGGCCCUGCUACUGCCGAAUAACAAUUGUUCGGUUGACAAUACUAAUAGUUAUAAUAAUAAUAGUAAUGAUAAUAAUAAUAGUAGUAAUAGUAAUUAGGUUAUGUUUUUUUUCUUUUAGUGUAUGUAUGUAUUUUUCUCCUUUUGUAUAUCGGAUCUACCCAAGGGAUUCAAAAAUCUAUAUUAGGUGGUCGACUUUAAAUUUUUAAUUCUUAUUUAGUAUUUAAUUUUCAUUCUUUCUUAUUCUUUAUUUUCAACAUGUCAACAGAGGUUAAUCUGAUGCGACAGAUCGAUGAUAUGUUGCUACGGACGGUUAUUAAUAAAAAAGUGUUAUUGUUAUUGAGAGGGUGAAAAAACAUGACAUGACUUUCUGAUUAUUUAAUAUGAAGAACGGUUCAUAAAUAAAUAAUAAGGAAAUAAGUGAUAAACACAAUUUAUAAUCGUAACAAAACGGUUAUUUUUAAUAACUGAUCGUGACUCGUCGAGAUAUUUGUUUUUAAAUAUAUUUUUUUAAUUUAUGUAAUAAAAGUCACCAAAUUUGUAUUAAAGAUGUGUUGAUUAUUAAAAAGAUAGCUUAUAUGUGCAACAGAUAUAUUAUCUGACGCAACAGAUUUUAGAGUUAUUGCAACAAAUGGUAUAUCUGUUGCAACUCAAAAAAAUGAUUACUGAAAAGAACUUAUCAAGUUACAACUUUCCACAGUAAUCAAAAAGCCACUGGUAUUAAUAAAUGGAGGUGAACAGUCGUGCCUUUUUGUUUUUGAAUCUAUUUUUUAAUUUAUAUAAUAAAAAAGUCACCAAAUUUGGAUUAAAGAUAAAGAUAUGAUGAUUAUUAAAAAGAUAUAUGUUGCAAUAAAUAUAUUAUUUGUUGCAACAGAUCAUAGAUAUGUUGCAACAAAUUUUAUAUUUGUUAUCACAGAUGGGUUAUCUGAUGCAACAUAUAUAUAAUCUGUCGCACAACUCAAAAAAAGGGUUAUUGAAAAGAAUUUUACCAAGUCACAACUUUUCAAAGUAAUCAAAAAGUCACCAAUAUUAAUAAAUAGAGGUGAACAGUCACCUUUUUUCCUAAUUCAAAUUCAAUCCUCUAUAAAUAGGUCCCUCCUUACUCGUUCAUUCUACUACACAUAUAUAAUUAUUUCUUGCUCUUGUCUUUCCUAUUACACCUUUAACUACUUUCUCUCCAAGAACUUGAUUGCUUUUCCCUGUAUUUGGUAAGUAUUUUUCUUGCUUUUUGUGUAAAUAUACGUUGUAUUACUUUUGGAUUCUUUUCUUUACUUUUAUUUUUGCAUUUUUUAUCAAUUUAUGCAUGUUCUAGAUGGGCGAUCCAGUGUGGGAUGUCUCUAUAAUACCCCAAACUUUUCCUUAAGCCUAGUUUCAUCUCUAGACUGUUAAGGAAUGACUUCCUAAGUGAGUAAUAUUUAAACCAUAUGGAGUUUCCCUAAUUUCAAAUUUUUAUCAUGUGGGAAAUUUAAUUAGCUUUCCAACGAUAUAAGAUCCACCCAAAUCCUAUAACCGGGCAAGGAGUUAUGGCUAAUUUAAGUUCUAGUCAUAAAACACUGUCCUUUUAGGGUUUGGCGCAUCACGGAGAAGGUCUAUUUAAUAAUUGUCAAAUUCCAGUGGCCUAGCGUGAUUGUGGCGCAUUAUGCCAAAGUUCCAGGUCCCAACUAGUGCGACAACGUGAUGGCUCCGCAUCGUGGUGACUCCCAGAUUCCCAAUUGUCAAUUCUAGUGAGCCACCACGAUAGUGGCGCGUCGCGGUGGCCCAUAAAGUUGGCUUCUAGUUCAAUUUUUCCAGCUUCGUUCUGGAUUUAAAAAGGGAACUUUGGACUUUUCCCAAACCUCUUAAAUCAUCCAAACACCUGAUCCAAAGCUAUUACAAGCAUCAUAUACAACUUUUCUCAAAAUUCUCUCAAAUUAAAAACCCAAAGCAUGCAAACCCAAUUCCAAGAAUCUCCUACAUUCACCAUUAAUUCUUCAAAUGGAUUCAAGAAUUUGCUUCCUCAAACCAAGAGCGUUAAGAAUAUCCAUUCAAGAGUACGAAUAGAGUACCAAAGCUAGAGUUCAUCCAAAGCUCCUAAUUCAAGGUAUGUGGGGUUUGAACAAGAACACUUCUUUCGUUCUUGUACCCAAAGAUUUGAUUUUUAUGAAUGAAUUUCAUGUUUUUGCAAGUGGGUCUAACCCUAAAUUAUAUUAUUUUAAGAAUAUGAAUUGAUAAGUUGUUCAAGUCUUGAAUUGCAUGAUUAUUUUGCUUAUUUAUGAUUUGAAUUGAUUAUUCAUGCCAUAAAUUGCACGUUCCUAUAUUGAUGUGAUAUUUUCAAGUGUUACCAAGAUUGGUGUCAUGAAUUAAGCAUUAUUGUGAAAUUGUGAUCCUUUAAGAAUAUACAUGUCUUAAGUCCAAGAAUUAAUUGUUGAUACUUUCUAAAGUGCUUCAAGAAAUGUAUUGAUAUUUCCAUGCUAUUAAAGUUUAAGAGAUUAUUGGUGAUAGUCUACCAAAGUUACAAGAAAAGAAUUGAUUUUGAUCCAAAGCUAAGAAAGAAAAUCCACACCAUUUGAUUUAAGUUAAAGGGGAUCAUAGUUGGCAUCCAUUGUAUAUUUCUGAAUUGUUUAAGGUGGAUUUUUCUAAAAUGUUCUUAGCUUAAGUAGGAGAGUAUUAUUUAGCACCGAGUUGGGCUUGAUUCCAAGGUCUCAUGCCCUCAAACUACAAGCCACCAUAGGAUUUGAUUUACCCCAAGUUGGUUAAGCUAGUGAUCACUAAAAGUUAAGGUUCUACUCGAAUGGCAAGGAUAGAACAGAACUCCCCAACGUGUGCAAGAUGAUAGACUCCAUGUAUCUCACAUGGUUUAUGUCGGUUAGAAGAAACUCCCAAGUUUUAAGUCCUCGAGUUUUAAAAAAGUUCUACCCCUUUAUCAAAGUAUGAGUUUGAAAGUUUAUGUAUUUCAAAAAUCUAUGAUCAUAAUAUUUCUAAGGUUCUCAAGUGUCAUAACCUUUAAGCUCCAAAGAAGUUCUUUGUUUUCAAAAGAUUAAAGUGCAUGUUCUAAAAGUUGUUGUUUUAAGAGUUCAACUAGUUUACAAGUUUGAGAUCAAAGGAAGAAUAUAGAUUUAGAAUAAAGUGUAAUGACUCACGUGAUUUAUAUUACAUGCUUCCACAUUCAUGAUUUAUGGGAGUUUUAUUCAAGCUAUGUUAGUAAUCUACAAUACCAUGUAUGUUUUCUAUAAAUAUUUAUUGUAUUGAUAUUAGUUGCAUACAUCUCCAUAUACUCAGUAUAUUCCCAAGUGUUGAUCUACAUAUAUUUUUGUGUGCUGCAUUAUCUUAUAAUGUAGGUUCAGGUUCUCAGUCUCAGCCUCAUCAGUGAUUCCUGAGUACCUUUAUCUAUAUCUCCACUGUGGUAAGUCCUCAUGGUUUGAGGACAUAUCUUUAGACACUUCAGUAUCUUUAGCAUUUGUUCUACAACUUUCAGUUUAGUUUGAGUUAGUUGGGGAUCUGUCCUAAUGGCUCUCUAGUUUGUUGAGUAGUAGUGGCUUUGUCAGACUAGUUUGUCAGUAUGUUCAGACUUAUAGUAUUUUGUUACUUUUAUUGUACUCUUUCAUAUUUUAGUUAGGCAUAAUAUGACAUGAUUCCUUAUUUUUUUCUCAUUAUCCUUAAGUAAGCUUUAUACUAAGUAGUAUGCUCAAAGGGUUAGCUUGGGGCUACUUGUAGCCAUAAGCAUCGUGUGACGCUCUGGGACAGGAUUUUGAGGCAUUACAAACUUGGUAUCAGAGCCUAAGGUUUAAGGAGAACUAGGGAGACUGACAAGCCAUGUUACAUAGGGUCUUGAUCAUCGGUGUGUAGCGCACCACAUCUAUGAGCAAGAGGUUACAUGAUGUUUUAGAAAAAAUUCUUCCCUUUCUUUUAGAAUCUAUCGUGCUUAUAGUUGUCUCUCUCAUCUAUUAAAUUAUGCUCUCUUAUUUCAGAAAAUGCCUCCCCGAAGAGCGAAUGCCCGCCGAAACAAUAGCGAGUAACCCCAGCCUGUUGAUUCCUUAAAUAAGAAUGUGUCUCAUGCGGAGUUUCAGGUGGCCUUUUAGGCCUUAGCCUAAGCAGUUACCAAAAAUGUUUAGGCCAAUAACCAGGCCGCAGUUCUGCCUUAACAAGGAGGUGAUUUAGCCGCAGCUAGGGUCCAUGAUUUUAUGAGGAUGAACCUACCAGAGUUCUAUAGGUCUAGCAUGUGAGGAUCCAUAGUUGUAUCUCGAGGAGGUGAGGAAGAUCACCCAAGUGAUGCAUGUCUCUAAGAAAGAAAGUGUUGAGCUGGCAUCUUACAGGUUGAAGGACAUUGCUUAUGACUGGGUAGUGAUGUGGAGGAAGAAUAGAGGGGAGGAUGCAACCUCUAUUACAUGGUAGGUGUUCCCAGAUGCAUUCUUGGACAAGUUCUUCCUGCUUGAGAUGAGGAAAGUAAAGAUUGAGAAGUUUAUUAACUUGAGACAGGGCUCCAUGACUGUUAAGGAGUAUUUCCUUAAGAUCAACCAGCUAGAUAAGUAUGCUCUAGAUUUGAUUUCUGACACCCGAACUAAUAUGAGUAAGUUUGUGACUGGAGUAUCUAGACUGGUGUUGAAAGAGUGUAGGACUGCUAUGCUCAACAUGGAUCUUGAUGAUUUAUUCCCAGUAAAUAGAGGCAGGCAAGAUAAAGAAGAGAGAUAGAGUGAGGGAAACAAAAAGGCUAGAUACGAACAGUAUAAGUAUGGUCAGAUGAGAUCCCAUAUAGGGAACCGUCCACAGUUUUAGAUCCGUUCAUCCAUGUUAGCGCCUUUGUCAGUUAUUUCUUCCAUGCCCAAAAAUAGGUAGGAGUAAGGAAAUAAGCCUCCUAUGUCCAAGUCCUAAAACAGUGUAAGUAAUAAGCCUAAUUAUUCUCCCUAUGCUAAGUGUGGUAGGACCCAUCCCGAUGAGUAUUUGGCAGAGCAGCGAGGUUGUUUUGGUUAUGGCAAUAUGGGCCACAGACUUAGAGAGUGCUCGUAUGCUAGGCAAGGGAACAGAGAUGCCCGACCUCAGACACAGGCCACUAGUGCACCAGCUCCUGCAGCCCAUCCAGCGCCUCCUCAGGGCACUUCUUCUAGUAUGGCUGGUGGUCAGCAUCAGAAUAAAUUCUUUGCCCUACCUUCCAUCAGGUGCAGGAGAAUUGUCCCAAUGUUGUUAUUGGUAUGUUUUGUAUCUUUUGCUUUGAUGUUUAUGUGUUGUUGGACCUCGGAUCAAGCUUUUCUUAUGUGACCCCACUUGUUGCUGUGAACUUCAAAAUAAGUCUUAAAAAGAUUCCUGAGCCUUUCCUAGUUUCUACUCUGAUAGAGUAGUCAGUUGUUGCUAAAAAAUGUAUAAAGUGUGUCCUGUUACUAUUAUCCAUAGAGUCAUACUUGCUGAUUUGAUAGAGUUGGACAUGAUGGAUUUGAUGUUAUUUUGGGUAUGGACGGGCUUCACUCUUGUUAUGCAUCUAUAGACUAUCGUACCUGUGUAAAUAAGUUUCAGUUUCCUAAUGAACAGGUGUUCGAGUGGUCCGAGAGUUUAGUACCCCCUAAGAGUCAUUUUAUAUCCUAUCUCAAAGUCAAAAAUUUGAUAUCCAAGGGUUGCAUCUAUCAACUAGUUAGAGUUAAAGAUACUAAGUUUGAGGCUCCAACUAUUCAGUCGAUCAACAUUGUUAAUGAGUUUCUAGAUGUUUUUCUAGAAGAUCUCCCAGGGGUACUUCCUGAUAGAGAGAUAGAAUUAGGGAUUGACCUUCUUCCCGACACUCAGCCCAUUUCUAUUCCUUCUUACCGUAUGGCACCCAAAGAGCUUAAGGAGUUGAAAGAGAAACUCAAAUAUCUUUUAUAUAAAGGUUUUAUAAGGCCCAAUGUCUCUCCUUAGGGUACACCUAUUCUAUUUAUGAGAAAGAAAGAAGGUUCUUUGCAUAUGUGCAUUGACUAUCGUCAGCUUAAUAAGGUGACAGUCAAGAAUAAGUACCCUCUUCCGAGAAUAGAUGACCUAUUUGAUCAAUUUCAAAGUGCAAGUUAUUUCUCAAAGAUAGACCUUAGAUUCGGCUAUCAUCAACUUAGAGUACGGGAUUGUGACUUCUUGAAGACAGCCUUCCGAACCUGUUAUGGUCACGUUAAGUUUCUAGUCAUGUCUUUCGGUCUAACCAACACUCUAGCAGCCUUCAUGGACCUCAUGAAUCGAGUGUUCAAGAAGUAUCUUGAUAUGUUUGUCACAGUGUUCAUAGAUGAUAUCCAUGUUUACUCCUGUAAUGACGAUAACCAUACAGAUCAUCUUAGAAUUGUUUUACAAACUCUUAGAGAUCAUCAGUUGUUUGCAAAAUUCAAUAAGUGUGAGGUUUGGCUAAGGUCCGUAGCUUUUUGGGGUUAUGUUAUUUCAGUUGAAGGCAUUAAAGUCGACCCCCAAAAGACAGAAGGUGUAAGAAAUUACCCUAGACCUAUCUCUCUUUCUAACAUUAGAAGUUUCUUGAGUCUAGCUGGCUACUACCACCAUUUUGUUGAAGGUUUCUCUUCUAAUACAUCUCCCAUGGAAAAUGACCCAAAUACGCUUAAGGACAUGGAGUUUUAAUGACUGAAAACUAGCCCAGUGAUGCACAGCCCAAUAUACUGCAUAGAUGGGGUCGACGCUAUGGCCGAUGUGCCGCAUCGAGUCCGUGUUGGUUCACUAGAAAUUUGACACUGGUAGUUGGGAAAAAUAUUUAUCAAUGCGAUAGGCCAUCAUUGAUCCAUUGGUUGGGACUUCCAAAUGUCUUGCAAACAAUGUUUGAAAAAUUCAAAACUUAUCCGAGAAUACCUACUGACAUGCCUGAUCAUGAUUCAAUCUAAAAAUAAAUUCUUUAAGGUCAUAAGGGUCGUGAAAUGAGAUCUCCAAUUUAUGAGUCUAAACUAAUUCUAUGUGUAAGCGCUUCGCUGAAAUUUUCUAAGCAUGGGACCCCUUAUCAAGAUCUAAGGGCUGAGUUAACCUUAGAAUUUUGCGAGGUCUUACAAUAUCUCCCCCAUAGGAAUAUUCAUUCUCGAAUGAGACUAACUAAACUGAGAGUAUUAAUAGACUGAAUUUUCUUACUAAGCAUGCAUAACUGAAGCAUGCUUUCAUGAAUGAACUACUGAUAGACUGAAUUUUCAUACUAAACAUGCAUGACUGAAGCAUGACUAAAUUUUGAAGACAUGACACAUGAAUGAGCUGUUUCAUGAGGGUAUGCAUGAUAUGAGAAUGUUAUGCAACUGAACUAAUAUCUAACACAUAAAGGAAAGAUGAAUAUGGAACUGAGUAAAUUCAAGGAAAACUGUUACUUUGAGCUGAGUCUGAGUUUGCGAAGAAUAGGCGAGGAUACUUGGUCUACAUAUCUACUUCUACUUCCUAAAUAGCUUCCUCAGCAGACUGGUUUUGCCAUAUAACUUUGACUAGAGGGACUUCUUUGUUCCACAGUCUGCAAAUCCCAUGAUCAAGGAUUUCAACUAGGAUCUCUUUAUAAGAAAGGUUGUUCAGAAUAUCUAUACCCUCGAUAGGGACUACAACUGCUGGGUAACCUUGCAAUUAAGCAAGGAGGCGCGAAACACUGGAUGUACUGAAGCUAAAUUUGAUAGUAACUCAAGCUCGUAAGCUACCUUUUCGAAACGGCUGAGAAUUCAGUAAAGACUGACAUAUUGGGGACUAAGUUUCCCUUUCUUGCCAAACCUUUUCACCCCUUUCAUAGAUGAGAUUUUCAAAUACACAUAGUUACCUACGUCAAACUCGAGAUCCUUUCUUUGCAUAUCUGAGUACAAUUUUUGUCGGCUUUGAGUUUUUUUAAGCCUUUUCCUGGUCAAUUCAACUUUUUCUAAGGUAUCAAAUACUAAGUCAGGCCCCAUCACUGUGGCCUCACCCACUUUAAACAAACCAAUGGGAUAUCUAUAUCUCCUCUUAUAUAGUAUCUCAAAUGGGGCCAUCUAAAUGCUGUAGUGGUAACUGUUAUUAUAUGCAAACUCAAUCAAGGGCAAGUGGCCAUCCCAACUACCCUUAAAGUCAAUGGUACAUGCUCUUAGCAUAUCUUUUAAAGUCUGAAUAGUCCUCUCUUCUUGACCAUCUGUCUGAGGGUGGAAGGUUGUACUGAGGUAAACUUGGGUACCAAGACCUUUUUAGAAGGCUUUCCAAAAAUGAGAGGUGAAAUGUGCACCUCUAUCUGAAAUAAUGGAUAAUAAAACUCCGUGCAAUCUGACCAACUCCCUAACAUAGAGCUUGGCAUAAUCCUUGGCUGAAUAUAAGGUAUGGACAGGUAAGAAAUAAGCUGACUAGGUCAUCCUGUUUACGAUAACCCAAAUUGAAUCAUGGUGAUGAUGAGUACGAGUCAAACCCAUCACAAAAUCCAUAGUCACCUUUUCCCACUUCCAAGUGGGAAUACUGAACUCCUGCAUAGACCCACUAGGCUUCUGGUGAUCAAUCUUAACCUGCUGACACAUCGAGCACUUGGCUACAUACUCUGCAAUGUCUCUUUUCAUCCCACUCCACCAAUUUACCACCCAAAAGUAGCGGCACAUCUUGGUAGCCCUUGGAUGAAUUGAAUAGCACGCACCAUGUGCUUCUGUAAGAAUCCUUUGCCUCGAGUCAUCUACACCUGGUACACAUAGCCGACCCUAACAAUGAAAUACACUAUCUCCCCCUUGGGAGAAAACCUCUACUUUUUGAUCUCUGACUGACUAUUUCAACUUAACUAGACUGGGGUCUCUAUUCUGUUUUUUCUUCACUUCGGAAACCAAAGAUGAUUCUGAGCUACUCUGCACCCAUACACUACCUUCUACUGAAUCGACUAGGCAGAUACCUAGUCGGGCAAGCUGAUGAACUUCCUGAACUAACUUCUUCUUAUCAUCUUCCACGUGGGCAGCACUACUCAUAGACAUUCUACUGAGAGCAUCAACCACUAUAUUGUCCUUGGCCGAAUGACACAGAACACUCAUGUCAUAGUUUUUCAACAACUCUAACUACCUCCUCUGAUAUAGGUUUAGAUAUUUCUGAGAGAACACAUACUGCAGGCUCGUAUGGUCAGUGAACACAUCAAUGUGUAUACCAUACAAAUAGUGCCUCCAAAUAUUUAAAGCAAACACUAUAACUGCUAACUCAAGAUCAUGAAUAGGGUAAUUCUUCUCAUAGGGCUUAAGCUGUCUAGAGGCAUUAGCUAUGACCUUACCUCUCUUCAUCAAAACACACCCCAAACCAACUAUAGAAGUAUCAAAAUAUGCCACCAACCCAUCUGAACCAUUUGGUAGAGUAAAAACUAUGGUAGUGGUGAGUCGAGCCUUUAACUCCUGAAAACACUUCUCACAAGAAUCUGACCACUGGAAUUUGAAUUUCUUCCGAGUCAAUCUGGACAUAGGGGAUGCAAUAGAUGAAAAUCUCUCAACAAACCAUCGGUAAUAGCUAUCCAACCCCAAGAAGCUCCUGAUAUCUGAUGAAGAGAUACGUUUGGGCCAGCUUCUCACUGCUUUAGUCUUUUGGGGAUCAACUCUAAUGACCUCACCAAAAAUUAUAUGACCAAGGAAAGCCACUGAUCUUAGCCAAAAUUCAUACUUACUAAUUUGGCAAACAACUGAUGGGAUUUAAGGGUCUGUAACACUAUUCUGAGAUGGUCUGCAUGAUCAUGUUCACUGCAAGAGUAGACAAGAAUAUCAUCAAUAAAGACUAUGAUGAACAUAUCCAAGUACUGCUUGAACGCACGGUUCAUCAAGUUCGUGAAAGCUGUUGGGGCAUUGGUAAGACCAAAUGACACAACUAAGAAUUCUAAGUAACCAAACCGAGUUCUGAAAGCUAUUUUUAGAAUUUUACAUUCUCUGAUUCUGAGAUAAUGAUAGCCUGAUCUGAGGUCUAUCUUAGAAAAAUAAUUGGUACCCUAAAGUUGGUAAAAUAAGUCAUCAAUUCUAGGGAGUGGAUACUUGUUCUUGAUCGUGACUUUAUUUAGCUGACAGUAGUCAAUGCACAUUCAAAGAGAACCAUCUUUCUUGUGCACGAAUAGAACUGGUGCAGCCUACGGAAAUACACUGGAUUUGAUGAAUCCCUUAUCUAGGAGAUCUUUCAACUAUUCUUUUAAUUCUUUGAGUUCUGUAGGAGCCAUUAUAUACGGUGGGAAAGAAAUGGGUUGAGUAUCUGGAAGAAGGUUGAUUUUGAAGUCAAUUUCCCUUUCGAGAGAAACCCCAGGAAGAUCUUCGAGAAACACAUCUAGAAAUUCACAUGGUACUUAUACUGAUUCAAUAUUAGGGGUAUCCAAACUAGAGUCCUAAACUUGAAUAAGAUGAUAGACACAUCCCUUAGAUAUCAUUCUUCUGGCUCUAAGGUAAGAAACAAGCUGACCCCUAAGUUUUGAAGUACUACCCUUCCAAUCCAAGAUAGGUUCAUUCAAAAACUGAAAUUCGACAAUUUUAUUUCUACAGUAAAUAGANNNNNNNNNNNNNNNNNNNNNNNNNNNNNNNNNNNNNNNNNNNNUCUCUAUUUCUACUAAAUCUGCUGAAGUAACUUUUUGAGAUUCCAUAACUAGACAAUUCUUGUAUACCCGUCAGGCUAUGAUAGAUUUAACCACUAGGGUAGAGACUAAAAAAGGUUCUACUAGGAUUUGGAGACUGACUCCAAAGUCGAUAGCUAUAUAAAGAGUCACAAAAGACAAAGAAGCUCCUAGAUCUAGAAAAGCAUAAACAUGUAAAUGAUAAAAUUGUAACAUACCAGUGACCACAUCAUGAGAACUUUCCUGAUUUUGUAAUGACUGAAGUGCGUAGAGUCUGUUUGGGCAUUGCUACUGGUGGGACUAAAAGGCUGACCCUUAAAUCUACUGCUAAUAGGUUGGGCUGCUAAGUGUGAUCAAAAGUCUAUGCAUCUGAACCUAUGAUAUAAGACAUCAUAGCACAAAAUAAAAGUAUGUGUCAGUACUUUGAAUGUAUUGGUAUGAUAAGUGAGGUAGAUUGAUAUACAUGGGUUCAUAUGCCUGAACAAUAACUGACUGAGUAACAUAAACGUAACUGAAUGAGAGAACAUGCAUGAAUACAUAAAAUGUAACUAAGGUUAUGAUAACACUGGAUACUGAGUUCUGACUACUGAUUAACUGAUAUCUGAGUUUACUGAUACUGUAUUACUAAUAACUGAAUGACUAUUUCUGACAGUCCUGAUUCUGAAGAACUGAUUUGAGUUCUACAUUGAGCUGGAUGACUGUAUCUGAUAGUCUUGAAUUUGUAUAAUUGAACUGAGUUCUGUACUGAGACUAAAACUGAAACUAAAAUUAUGGAAGGCAGUUAUCUAACUGAUAUGCCCCAAAUAUGAGCUGAUAGGGGUCUAACUUUCGACCCUAGUUGGAAGGGUGAUAAUACUGUGCCAUGGGUACUAACACUAGAAUACUAGGAUGCCAAGCCUAACUGACAGGUACCACCUAGGUGGAGUCAAGCCUAAUCUAACGGGUGACCCCUGGGAGGUAGUAAAGACAAAUCUGGUGGGUGAAUUCUCAUCCUGCAUUGGCUUCACAGUUCUAGAGUACAAGGACUACUACUAAUGUCUCUGCCUCUCUGAAGGAGAAGACAUCAUCCCUGCACUCGCUCGAUGCUAAAUCCUACUCCUAACUGAAUAGACACUGAACUAAUUUCUAAACUAUACUAGGUUGGAUUGAACUAUUAUUGAUUGUGUUGUCUAACUGAACUGAGUUUAUUGGGUUCCAUUGACUGGCAGAAUACUACUGAGUUUUGUUAAUUGACUGGUUUUACUCGAGGUCUAAACUGAAUACUGAACUGAAUCUGGGACUGAUUACUGAGUACUACUAUUCGUGACCCUACUAAGAUUAUUCUGUAACUAUUAUAGCUCUUGGUAAACAACUAGAUUUGUCAGGUAUAGAAUACCCCCAGUACUUGAUAGCAUGAAAAUUAAAACACUACAUGACUAUAAUAGCAUAAAAGCACUUUCUUACCAAUAAUGCACUCAUUUGGACAUUUUUGUCAAACACUUGAUAUACAUGGCUUUUGCAUGAAUGAAAUCACAUAAUGCUUUCACAAGUUAAUUCACAUAAGCAUUUUGACAAACACUUUGGGGAGAAUGAGCAUUCCAUAAAUCAAUAAGUAUGUAAUACUAUCAUGGAUACUACAUUCAACUUGGAAUACAAGAUUUCAACAUGAAUUUCACAUAAUUCAAUCCACAACUAACAAAUUUUCAUGAAACUCCCGAAAAAUCAUUGAAUUGAGAACCCGUUUUGAGAUCAUAAUCAAGAUUACAUUCAAAUCCAUUAUGAAAUCUAUGAAAUAAAUUAACUUAUAGUUUAAUAGAGUUUCUUGAACUCCAAGGGUGGAAGGAAACAAUUGUAUGAACACUUCACAUACCUUGGUGCUUGAAUUAAUGAAGGUUGAUGGUAAGUUCUUGAAUCUUGAAUUUGAUAUUAGAACUCCUAGGAUUUUGUUCUUGAGUAAUUUGAGAGAGAAUGAGUGUAAUUUUCUUAUUAAGGGCUUAAUUUUGUAUUUUUGGGAUGAAUAGACCUAGGAAAAUGGCCUAAAUACCCUUAAGGACGCGGAGUUUUAAUGACUGAAAACUGGCCCAGUAACUCGUAGCCAGACGUGCUGCAUCAAUGAGGUCGAUGCUAUGUCCUAUGCACCACAUCAAUUCCAUAUCGGUUCACUAGAAAUUGGCACUGGGAGUUGGAAAAAAUAUUUAUCAAUAUGAUAGGCAAUACAGCACAUUGAGAUUGCAUUGAUCCACUCGUUGGGACUUUCAAACGUGUCGUAAACGAUGGUCAAAAAAUCUAAAACUUGUCUGAGAAUACCUACUAACAUACAUGAUUAUGAUUCAACCUAAAAAUUGGCACUUUAAGGUCAUAAGGGUCGUGAAAUGAGAUCGCCAACUUAUGAGGCUAAACUAAUUCUAAGUGUACACACUUAGCUAAACUUUUCUAAGUAUGAGACCCUUUAUCAAGCUCUAAGGGCUGAUUUAAGCUUAGAAUUUUUUGGGGUCUUAUACUUAUAUUUACAUAUAGCUCACUCCUUACUUGCAUAUCUAUAGAUAUGAUUGCGGAGAGAGAUUGUGGCUGAUGGUCAUUACGCAUGGAUUAUAUUGCUGAGGUGAGCCUUCGCAUUGUUCAUGGAGGCUGUUAUCUAGAUUUAGUUAUUUUUAGAUUAUAUUUCUUUUUGUUGGGUUUACAUGCUGGAAAGUUGAACUCAUGUAACUCUAUUUAGAGCUCCAUGGUCUUGGUGUGUGAUUUGAGGCUAGAGAGUUAGUAUCUAAGUAUUGUGGUUUUCAUGGACUUGUAUUAUGAUAACUUGGUGGAUAAUUACUUUGUUCUUAAUAAUUAUUUUAUGAAUUUAAAGUUGCACAUGUCUUUAUCUCAGUCUUUGUAGACUUUGUGAAUGUAUGAAAAAUUAGUUCUCCUAGCAAGUAGUCUUAGAUGAAGCCAGUCACACCUAGGGGUUAUUUUGGAAUAUGACAAAGUUGGUAUCAGAGCCUAGGCUUUAGGUCUCGGGUCAUGAAGUAGUGUUUAAUAGAUUCUUUUUUAGGGUGUAUGUAGGUUCCCAUACUUAUGAACUUGAGGAUACAAAACAUAUAUCAAGUUUUUUCUUUUUCAUUCAUUAUUUAUGCGUUGAGUUGAAUUAAGUCUAACCUUGUCUUGCAUUGAGUUGACUUAAGUCUAACCUUUAAAUAUUGUUUCAUAGAUGGUUAAGAUAUGUGGUUUUUCUUUUGCUACUUGAUCUAAUGCACCUGCUGGAUGUGGUGUUGGAAAGAAUUCUACCCAUGAUGUUGGUAGAGUUAGGUCUUAUCCAACUAAGCCUCGAACUAGGACACAAACUAGUGCUCAACCUAGAGUUGGGAAUGGGGGCCAACCCCAAGUUGUGGCUUUAAGAAAGUGCAGGACCUGGUUGAUAGAGAUACUCCAGCAACUUUAGUGCCAGUUAUUGCAUCUACUGUUGCAUUAACUGCAGACAUAGUGGUAAGAAUGUUGAAUGUACUUGAGGCAUUGGUGCCUAAUCAGGGUCAAACUCCAACUCCUCAAUCUACUUCACAGAUGCAAGUACAAGUUCAAUUGAAUGUUUCAAUUUCUCAGGCACCUCAACCAGUUGAACAUUCGGUUUCAGCUAUGGGGUAACCCAAGGAUCUUAAGAAUUUCAUGGAUCUUAAGACCUCAAAAUUUGAUGCUACACCAUCUUUUAUUAAGCCUCAAAAGUUUAUAGAUCAUUAUGAGAAGAUACUGACUACUUUGGGAUUAAAGGAGACUUAUGGUGUAGAAUUUACUACUUUUUUGUUCUUAGCGGCUCCCGAAGCAUGGUGGACUUCCAUUUUGAGAGAAAGAUAAGAAGUUCUAUUAUUGAUCACUUGGUCAAAGUUUUUAGCUAUGUUUAUGGAAAGAUUUAUUCCAUUGAGCAAACAAGAUGACAUGAGAUACUAGUUUAGUAAUCUACAAUAGGGAUCUAUGACAGUCACUGAAUACAAAGCUAAGUUUACUGAGUUAUCCAGGUAUGUUCCAUAUUUGGUUGCAAAUCAGAGGAAGAAAGUAAGGCAUGUUCCAUCUUUGGUUGCAAAUUAGAGAAAGAAAGUAAGACGAUUUAUGGAUGGACUAGAGGCUCGUUAUCAUGGUCCAGUGAUACGGGAUGUGCGUAAUGUAUCCUAUGCUGAGGUGGUUGACACUGCUCUCCAUUCUGAAUCCUACUAUGAGAUAGAAAUGAUUGAUCGAGAAAACAAAAGGGCACGUAACUCAAGUGGAUUUAGUGGUACUUCAUAUGGAAGAAAGAGUGGAUUUCAUUAUGGUUAGUCUAGGCCUGCGCAGUCAGAGUUAGUAAGUCAAUCUUCAAAGAAUAGUUAUCCCGCUAAACAGAGUAAGCAGCAGAUGUAGCAAAAGAGUAGUGAUUCUUUUCAUUUUGGAAAACAUCCAAAAUGUUCUAAUUAUGAAAGAAAUCAUUGUGGGCGUUGUUUUAGAGUUGGUGGUCCUUGUUAUACUUGUGGUGAAAGAGGGCAUAUUGCUAAUUUUUGUCCUAAGGGAAAUCCUGCUUCUAGUCAAACUACUGCACAAGUGCAGAGAGGUGUUGUAGGUCCUCAUGCUCACGCUUAGCAAAAUAAUACUUCUACACAGGGUGCUUCAAAGUUAACAAGGUGCUCAGGGUGCUUAGACAGCAGGCGGACAUAGAAGCAUCUCAUGCUGUGGUCAUAAGUAUUAUCACUGUAAACUCUCAUGAGGCUUAUUCUCCUACUGAUCCUGGUUCUACUUAUUCGUAUGUACCCUCAUAUUUUUCUUUAUUCUUAGAGAGAAAAAUUGAGACUCUUAUUGAGCCAUAUAUUAUUACGACCCCAAUAGGGUAGACCUUAUCAGUGAAUAGAGUUUAUAGAGAUUGUGUGAUAUCUUUUCAGGGUAAGGACACCAUAGUUGAUCUACUUAGGUUGCCAAUGACUGAUUUUGAUCUGAUUAUGGGUAUGAAUUGGUUGGCAUCAUGUUAUGCUUUGUUGAUUGCUAUGCUAAGCUUAUACAUUUUGUUAUUAUUGGAUAACCACCUUUGGUGUGGAAAGGUAUAACUCUUGUGACUUAAGGAAAGAUAAUAUCUUAUGUAAGAUCCCGCCGAAUGAUUAACCAUGGUUGUUUGGGUUUUAUUACUACUAUUCAUGACACUCGAGUAGAGUAUGUUUCUAUUAACAAUAUUCCCAUUGUUUGAGAGUUUAUUGACGUAUUUCCAGAAGAUUUUCCCGAGUUAUCUCCGAUUGAAAGAAAUUGAGUUUAGCAUUGAUUUAGUGAUAGGGACUCAACCUAUUUCUAUUCCACCUUACUAUAUGGAUCCUGCUGAGUUAAGGAAAUUGAAGGUUUAACUCCAGGAGUUACUUGAUAAGGGAUAUAUCAGGCCUAGUAUGUCAUCAUGGGGUGCACCUAUGUUAUUUGUGAAAAACAAAGAUAACACAAUGAGAAUAUGAAUUGACUAUAAGUUGGUAAAUAAGGUGCCAAUCAAGAAUAAGUAUUCUUUGCCUCAAAUUGAUGAUCUAUUCGAUCAGUUAUAGGGUGCUACUCACUUUUCUAAAAUUGACUUGAGAUUGAGUUGUCAUCAGCUGAGAGUCAAGGUCGAAGAUAUCACUAAGUCAAUUUUCAAACCAUGUAUGGGAAUUUUGAAUUUUUAGUGAUGUCUUUUGGACUGACUAAUACACUUGUAGCAUUUAUGGACCUCAUUAACAGGGUAUUCAAGCUGUACAUAGAUAAUUUUUUUAUUGUGUUCAUUGAUGACAUUUUAGUUUACACUCAAAGUAAGGCAGAACAUGGACAACAUUUGAGAGUUGUGUUGCAGACACUUAGAGAACAAAAAAUUUAUGCCAAGUUCUCAAAGUGUGAGUUUUGGUUGGGCAUGGUUUCCUUUUUGGGACAUGUAGCGUUAAGAGAUGGGAUUCAUGUUGAUCCAAAGAAGAUUGAAUCAGUUCGAGAUUGGCCUCGGCCAAGUACUAUUAUAGAAAUACACAACUUCUUGGGUUUAGCUAAUUAUUAUAGAAGGUUUGUUGGGAGAUUCUCAAAGAUAGUUGCUCCAUUGAACCGCUUGACUCAAAAAAAUGUGGGUUUUUGAUGGUCAGAUGAAUGUGAAGAAAGUUUUCAGAAAUUAAAUACAACAUUGAUUUCGACUCUAAUUUUGACUUUACCUACAACAGAAGGCGGUUUCACUAUUUAUUGUGAUGCAUCUCGAAUUGGAUUGGGUUGUGUUUUAAUGCAGAAUGGUAAAGUGGUGGCGUAUGCUUCUCGACAGCUAAAGGUCUAUGAAAAGAAUUAUCUGACUCACGACUUGGAAUUGGCUACGGUUGUUUUUGCACUCAAGAUCUGGCGUUGUUAUCUUUAUGGUGAGCUAUCUAAAAUCUAUACUGAUCAUAAAACUCUGUAGUACAUAUUCAAGCAAAGACAUCUAAAUCUGAGAAAAUAAUAGUGGUUAGAGUUACUUAAAGAUUGUGAUCUUACUAUCUUGUAUCAUCCUGGGAAGGCGAAUAUAGUAGCAGAAGCUUUGAGUAGGAAGUCUAUGGGCAGCUUGGCUCGAUUUACUAUCGAAGGACAACCUAUGGGUAUGGAUAUUCAGUGUUUAGCCAAUCAUUGUGUUUGAAUUGAUCACACAGUUCCUAGAAAGUUAUUUAAAGUUAUGGUGGUUCUGUCGUCCUUAGUUGAGCAAGAAUUGCCAAUAUGAUGAUCCCUACCUAGUUGGGAUUCGAGAUCGAGUUUAGAAUGGCGGUGUUAAGUCAUUCACUAUUGGUAUGGAUAUUCAGUGUUUAGCCAAUCAUUGUGUUUGAAUUGAUCACACAGUUCCUGGAAAGUUAUUUAAAGUUAUGGUGGUUCUGUCGUCCUUAGUUGAGCAAGAAUUGCCAAUAUGAUGAUCCCUACCUUGUUGGGAUUCGAGAUCGAGGUUAGAAUGGCGGUGUUAAGUCAUUCACUAUUGGUAGUGAAGGUGUACUAUGUUGUCAUGGAAGAUUGUGCGUUCCCAUUAAGAGUGAUGUGAGGCGGAUAAUCCUUAAUGAGGCUUAUUGCUCGCGAUACUCUUAUCCACCUUGGUUCUACGAAAAUGUAUCAACACUUGUGUAGCCACCUAAAUUUGCCCUCCCAAAAACCCAAUUCAUUCAUUUUAGCUCAUCUUAUCACGCACCCCAACUCCAUUCUAUAAAUCUUUUUCACAAAAAUACAAAAAAAUAACAAAUCCCUAACAAAUUAAAUCCCUAAUAUUCCCUUAUCCUAACAAACUUUAUCUCAACCAAUCCACCUCUACCCAAUCUCACCCCUAGACAGUCCCUCCCUUCAUGUUUCUUAUUCCUUGUAACCAAAUACAUGAAAAAAAAUAGAGACCAUCAUUCUUAUGAAGGGAAUUCAUGGACUCUCACAGAAAUAUACAUAGCUCACAUAGACAAACCUCACUAGAUAUACACACAGAGCAUCACAAAACCAAAAAGAAAAAAAAACUCUCAUGGCUUGAAUACACUAAAAACAUAAUACACACAACACACAUUCUCUACUCCAUAGAUGCACACUACACCCUAACAAGAGAAUCAACACACAUAGAUUUCAUAUAUAUCGUAGUGUAUGUACACACACUAUCACCAUACAGUAAAAAGGAGGAAUUAGGCACACAGUGAAGGAUAGAAAAGAGAGAAGAGGCAAGGGAGAGGAGAUCAAGAGAAGAGAGAAAAUGACGGGCUGACUAUUCCGGCGAGUCUUCACCAAAAAAGCGCAAACAUCACACUAGUUGCGUCAUUUUUCUAUGAUUCACGUCAUCACCGAGCUCGUUAGAGCUCCGAUGAAGUGAAUAUUGUAAAGCCUAACUCCAAUCCUAUCGAGUCUUGAUGAUUUUCAGUCUGAUUUUGGAGAAUUCGGUACAGAUCUGGCCAUACUUUGCAUUUUUCAAUUUUUGAUUUCCAGUUUGGGCCGACGACAAACCAAAACGGGUCAUAGAUAAUUUAAUUUGGGAAAGUUCAUGAUUGAAGUACGAUGUUGAAGUUCCAUUUGGGUUGAGGUUCCAUUGCUUCGUGAGUUUUGAUUCAUUGUGGGUUGUUCGAAAUAAAAUUAUCAAAUUAAGGUCCAAUUCUAUUUCCUCUGUCUUUUUUAUUUUAUUGUUUAUUCUAUUCGAUAGAUUGAAUUAAACAUGGUAUGAAUUGUUGUUCUUACGAUUCUAUAAUUAAUUUUGUGAUUAUGGACUGCAUGUUGAAAUGACACUUUAUUUGUGUUCAGAAUGAAUUUGGGAAAGGAAUGGAGAAAUUGAUAAAAGAUUAUAUUAUUGGGUUCGUUUAAUUGAUGGAUGUUGAUGAAUCCGGUCGUAUCAUGGUAAGACCGUCAAAAGCCGAAUAGGCAAAGUUUAAAUUCGAGUAGUCAAAUUCAGGAUUUGUGGAAUAUUGAAUGCUUGAAAUAUGUGUCGAAUGUCUUGAUUUUAUUGGUUUUUGGAUCAAAUGUUUUUAUUUAUCGGGGAAUGCCCCGAGGUCACGUAAAUAUAUUUAUUUAUCGGGGAAUGCCCCAAAGUAUUUUGUACUCGGAGGACAUCUAUGAUCAAGGACCGAGACAUCGGGUAAAGCAUUGGAGUGUAGUUUAGUAUUAGUGUAGGUUAGAAUAGGAUUUAUAUUUUUUGCAUUUUUUAUUUUGGAAUGGACACUAUAUUUUGAAUUAUUUUAUUUUGUUUGUUUGAUUGAGUGUUUUGAUGUGUUUUUGUGUGGUUUUAUACAUUCAUCGUGCUAAAAUUAGCCAAUGUGAUCCACCAAGCGACCAUGGUCAAACCACGAGACCGAGGGGUUCUUAACAGCUUCCCCUCGGUCAACAGAAUUUCUUAACCGGAAUCUCUAUUUGCAAGCCAGUUUUAAAGAGUCAAAUCCUUUUGAAAAAGAAUUUUUCAAAGGUGACUUGGCACACUAGAUUUAUGUCAAGUGGCGACUCUGAGUUUUAAUUUAAAAGAUCCUUUUCGAAAUAAAAUUCUCAUCUUUUGUCACUUAAUAAUAAAAACUCUUUCAAACUUUAAAAUUAAUCUUUUGGUUAAAAAAGGGGUGUGGCAUCCCUGACGACUCUACUGGGGAUAUUUUUUAGAAUUUGACUUAUUUUUGGAGUUCUAUCGGUUUAGUUUGACACUAUAGGUGUAUAAAUAUUUUGUCUGUCUUAUUGUUUUAUUAUUGUUGGAUUCCUACGUGCUCUUUGUUUACAGUCUUUUUUUAUUUGUUACCGCUAUAUAUCUAGCAUCAUUUGCGUAGCCCGAGUCAAUUCUUUCUGUGAGAUGUUCCGGAGUGCACGUCAUGUACAUGAACUCUAGUUGAGUUACCUUUAUUUUAGGAAGGGAAGCCGUUGGACGUACGGAGUGGGUGGAAAGCUUUUGCAGCCACUAUCGACCAUACGCUCCCCCAACAGCCAUGUUAGUGGACCCCAGCCUUAGGUCAGCCUUUAGUCGUGCUUAUCUACAUCAUAUUGAGACCUAUAGGGACCCACUUGGUCCUACAUAGGAGACUCAGCUCUAACGCAUCCCUAAGUGCUAAUUGUUGUAUCUUUGAGGAUAACAAGUUCAUUUGACGGAUUGAUUUAGGGAAAGCAUCUGCUAGAGUUAAAGGAAGGUGUAUUUGAAAAAAAAAGUGAGUUAAAAAAAGAGUUUUGUAGUUUUUAGAGUUUUUUUUAUGGCUUUUGUUCUUCACAAUCCAAAAAAUUCAAAAAAAGAGUUCUACCUUUUGCACUCAUUUGUCAAAAAAAAAACAUCUUCUUUUGAUUCCUUUAGCAUGCAUUCAUAAUUCAAAAAUUUCAUAAAGAUUUUUUUUAAUAUCAGUUCUUAUAAAAGAAUAUUUUAAAAGUAGUAGAAGUUUUGUAUAUUUCAUAUAACAAAAAUACCAAAAAAAGAGUUUCCUUUCAUAGUUGUUGGUGUCAGUUUUAUGUGAAGUGUCAAAUUGAAAAACCCCAAAAUGAUUUUAUUAACGUUGUUUAUCGUCUGUUUGUGGUCGUAUCUUUUAUAUUAGGGUUCAGUCGGCUGUUUAAUCAUUAUUUGUCCAAUUUGGAUGAACUAGACACUUGAUUCUCCUAUUUCGGGAGUGAGAAACGUAGGCAGUCCUUUCAGAGUUCGGUGCUCUUAUUUCAAAAAUCCAAAAAAAAAAUAUUCACUCUUCAUUUAGAGUAGGUGUUCCAUAUACAUCUUUACAAGAAAACUUCAAAAAGAUUUUCCUUUAAUAGUUUCAAGUUUCAUUUUCAUAUGAAACUCAAAAUCAAAAACCCAAAAAGAUUUUUGUUUGGUAAUCAUAAGUUUCAUUUUGUAUAGGGAUGUUAAAGCUGAAAAAUUCAAAAGGUUUUUGUCAAUUAUUUUGACAAUUUGUUAUUUUCUAUUCUUCUUAAAAUUUCAAGAAAAAUAAAAAUAAAAAUAAAGAGAGUUUGAUCGGCCAUGUCGUGCCAAAACUUUACGAACUACGCACACCUGAUUCUCCUCUCUCGGGAGUGAGAUACGUAGGCACCCUUCUUGAAUUCGGUGAUCUUUUCUAAAGAAAAAUAUUUUGAGAAAGUGUUUAACUCUAACACAUUUGCUAUCUCUUGUCAAAGUUAGUUUAAGGUGGUUGGUUUGUGGCAUUUUGGUUGGUCCUCCAUAUUGCACCAAGUCAAAGAGAAAGUUAUGUCCAACAAGAAUAUCGAGGUUGUUGUCACUAAUCAGAUAGAGAGUUCGAGGAAUGAGAAUUUAGGAGUUAAUUACGAGAUCUGAAAAUUAAGGAAGCUAAUGAUAGAAAUGCAUGAGCUAAUGGAUUGCUCUCCUCUAUUUCCCACUGAUAAUCUGGAAUAUCUUUCUAGCCUGCCUCCCAUGUCACAUGCACAAUUUUUCAUUUUUGUUGACAUGUCACAACAUGCAUCAGGGACUACUCCGGGGAAACACUACGCAAACACUUCUAAUAUGUGUUUCCUCACUCCUCAACACAAAAUUACCACAUGCUCGGAUCUACCUACUAUUUAUGCUUUUGCAGCAUCACUCCCAUCUGAAGCUCCUAUUUUUGAUGUUCAGCCACAGAUUGUGAUUCCUCACUCUGUGAGAGAUCCUGUAUUGAAUAUUUCUAGUGAUCAGUAUUAGCUCCCGAGCCCACAUUUAAGUCGACUGGUCCUUAUAGCCACACUCAACCGCUUGAAUUUCCUCUUAACACUGACAAGCCUAUUAUGACAGAAGAACAAGAGAAAAUGACCAAAAAAUUGAGAAGUUCGAAACUGGCUAUGAAAAACUUCUAAGGACUUAGGGGGUAGAAAAGUGUCUCAUAGAAAGAUCUAUGCAUGUUUCAAGGUGUUCAUCUCCCUCUUGGUUUUAAAAUUCCAAAGUUUGAGAAGUAUGAUGGGCAUGACGAUCCUGUAGCACAUUUGAGAUGUUAUUGCAACCAACUAAGGGGCGCUGGAGGGAAGGAAGAAUUACUUAUGGCAUAUUUUGCUGAAAGUCUUUCAGGUCUAGCUUCAGAAUGGUUUGUUGACCAAGACAUCGACAAGUGGAAUAGUUGGGAUGACCUAGCUAAUGAAUUUUUGCAACAACUCCAAUACAAUAUGGAGUUAAUUCCCAAUGAGAAAUCCCUAAUUAAUAUGAAGAAAAAGAGUACUGAAAGUUUUAGAGAGCAUGCAAUUAGAUAGCGCGAAUAAGCUGCUAGGGUGAAAUCGCCAAUGAAAGAAAGUAAGAUAAUUGAGGUGUUUAUUCAAGCUCAAGAUGAAACAUAUUAUCAACACUUGUUACCUACAUUGGGCAAGCCAUUUAUUGAGGUCCUUAAAAUGGGAAAGAUGAUAGAGGAUGGUAUUAAGAACGGUCGCAUUGUAAGUUUUGCAACAUUAAAAGCGACUACUCAAGCAACUCAAAAGGAUUCAGGAAAUACUGGAGGAAAGAAGAACGAGAAAAUGUAUCUGCUAUUCUAGUUGGCCAAUAGGCACAGUCAAGAGGACCACACCAUUGUUACCCUCAAUCUCAAACUCAAGUUUAUGCCCAAGCUCCACAGAAUUACACCCAAAAUCCAUUAUACGCCAUUCCCCCACCUCCAUAUCCAGUGUAUAAUGCACAACCAUAUGUUGAGCCCAUAUCUUACCUACAAUGGCACGUGCCAACUCCUCAGAGUCAUCCUCCAACUCCAUAAACAUACCAAAGCCUUUCUAGGCCUGAUUUUCAAUUUAAGCCAAACAAUUAAAUGAGGCAAAAGUUGAGGAAUAGUUUCACACCAAUCGGAGAGUUAUAUGCCAGUUUAUUUUAAAGAUUCGUAUAGUGGGGUAUGAUCACUCCUCUCCUUGAGUAUACUCCUGACCCAUAUUUAAGAAGUUUUGCUCCUAAUAUAUGAUGUGCAUAUCAUUCUGAUGUUCAGGAUCAUAGUAUUGAAGAUUGCCAGGCUUUGAAAAGAGAAAUAGAAAAAAUGAUUAAAUACAAAUUGGUUGUGGUGCAGAACAUUGACAACAGUGAAAGCUUUAGAAAUGAUGAUGUGAAACUCAGUGGCUAAGAUGUCAAGCUCAGCAAUUAGGAAGUUGCUCCUUUCCUUACUGGGAAGGAUUAUUGGUAGUUUGUUUUGGUUUCUUUUCUAUUAUCUAAAUUACUUUAGGGUUGUAGGUUGGGAUCUAUCUUGUUUUUCCCCUUUGAAGUUUAUAUUCAAACUCUUCUAUAUUUUAUUUCAACUAAAUGAAGUGUCUCUCUCCCUUUUGGUUUUAAAUAUGUGUUGUUUAUUUGUUUUCUUUAUAUAGUACAUUUUAUGUUGAUUCUAAUGAUAUGACAUGCCUGCAAAAUUUUCAACCAGAUCUUAAAAUCCAGUUUAAUCAUGAACAUUGAGUCAGAGGUCUAAAGUUAGAAAAAACAUCUGAUAAAAUAGGUAGAGUGCAGAGACAUUUGGUGAUAAGUUGAAGCCUUCUUUAAAAAUUAAGGCAAUUAUUUUGAGAAUCAUAAGAAUAACUUGUUCAUUAAUUGAAACACAUGUCUAAAUUAGGUCUAAUAGUGGCUGCAUGAUCUUAUAUCAAGAGAAACAGAAAGAAAAUCAGCUCCGCAAAAGCACGAGUCAUUCAAUGUGAGGGAGGUAUAACAAAGGUAGAGUUGUAUGCUGGAAAACUAUAGGAAAAGAUGUGGCACACAUGCUCAGUUAAAGUUAGUGUUGUUAAAGUAUCACAAAUGAUUUUCAUCUUCCACUUCAUAUUGCAUGAUGUGUACAUGCAUUUUCAAGGAUUGAUAUGACGAAGGCAUUUCAUUCUGCUAUCCAAACAUUGCGUCAUCCUUUCUGAACCUCGUUGGAGCAUUAGUUCUAUUUUCUUCCAUAUCCCUCUUUUGGAAUCAAGAAAGAGUCAACAAAGUUAAAAAAAGUGUUGAGUAAAUGAUUAGAGUCAGAAAAAUUUUAAAAAAAAAGAGAAAAAGAGAAAAAGUAUGUCAAAAAGAAAAAAAAAGGAGAGUAUGAAAAAUAAAGUCAGAAAAGUCCCACAGAGAAAAAGAGUCAACAAAAGAAAAAAGGAAAUCAAAAUCAAGCAAAAAAACAAGUUGUCGGAACUAUGUGUGACCUGAUUCUCUUCUCUCAGGAGUGAGAUAUGUGGGCUGCCCUACUUUGGGCUCGGUUCAACUAAAUAAACAAUUUAAAAUUUCUCAAUAAAAAGAAACUGGGGAAUGAGUUAAUCUUCAUUGUUUAAGUCAAUUUCAAAAGUUGUAAGUCCCACCCUACUUCAAGUGUCGUUUGGGCCUCAUGUCAUUCUUUCUUUCUAACCCUAUCCAAAAGCUAAGUUACAACCAAAGAAAGACCUUCAGAUCAAUUUUUAAGGAUAUUAAGGCUAAGCAUGCAAGGGAUAUGAUGAUGCAUUUGGGAACUACUUGUCUUCCUUAGCAUAAGGAAUUAAGAGAGAAAAAAAAUGAGAGUUUUAUUAGUGAAAACCCUCUCGGGCACCGUAAGACGAUGGUAAGUUGAGAGAGAUAAAAUUGAGAGAGUCUUUUCGGUAAAAACCCUCAAGGGUACUGUAAGAUGACAGUGAGUUGAAAGAAAUGAAAAUAAGAGAGUCUCAUUGGUGAAUACCCCUCACGGACACCAUAAGGCAAUGGUGAGCUGAGAAAAAGAAAAUAAGAGAGGCUUGUUGGCAAAAACCCUUCAAGGCACCACUAGACGAAUAAGGUCUCAAAUGCAAUUGACCUAAGAAAGCAACUCAGUUUCAAGCUCAUUAACUCAACAAUAAUUGGUAGAAAGUUUGGAUGGAAAGAUCAGGUAGCUUAAUAAAAAAUACAUGGCAUAAUCAAUAGAGUUGACCGUCAUUUUUAGAUAAAUUUUUCAUUUCUUUGUUUCAAAUAGGGACAUUCAUUUUCUUUUCUUUCUUGUCUUUAUUUUUUUAUUUUCUUAAGUCAGUUAUACAAAUAAACAAUUAUUGUCAUUUUUCUCUUGUCUCUAGGUCAAGUCCAUGUAAAAAUAAGUGAGAGAAUAUUUCAAAACUAGCUACCAGAUUCUUCAAUUGCACAAAGCAACACAAAAGCCAACACAUGAAAGAGACAUGAUUGUGAGCUGGAAAAAGGCAAGCAGAAAGUUUUGUCAACAAACAAGUUUGGGAACUCAUGGAAAUACCAAGGUUCAAAGGGUUUAUCUGAGAAACAUGGAAAAUAAGAAAUACUUUGUUUGUUUCAGAGUCACUCUUAAUAAUCUGAACUUGGGUCAAUGUGUAACGCCCCGAAUUCUGAACCUCGGAUGCUACACGGUGCUUAUGAUCCCAAAGGACCACAAGCUAACCCUUUUCUGGUGCCUGUAAUUGAACACUACAUAAUAUACUAUAAAAAUGUGGAAAACAACUGGCAAAAACUUGCCAUAAGGUUCAAAACUAAAAUAUAACUGAAUAAAGUAUCAAAAAUACUAAAGUAAUUGUCUAAACAUCUAGUAUGAAAGCCUCUAAUCUGUCUGAAUAAGGAGUUGAUGAGACAAUCGCCCAACUAACUCUGUCUACUAAAAUACUGAAUUUAGAAAUAUAAUAAAAUAAUAGAACAUUCUUGAAUGAUGAGGAAUCACUACUAAGUCUACUGCUUCUGGCUAAAUCUGAACUACUAAAGGUGCUCUGGAUCUCGUGCUUCUGAACCUAUGGUAUAAAAUACCAUAGCGCAGUAAAGUAUGCGUCAGUAUGUAAGAAUGUACUGGAAUGCUAGAUGAGGUAAGGCUAAAUUUAAUGGUUCAUAUACAUGAACAAUACAGACUAAAUAAUAUGAGUAUACUGAAUGAGGAUACGUGCAUGAAUGCAUAAACUAUAACUGAAAUCAUAGUGACACUGAAUACUGAGUUUCGUGUGAUGCUUUACUGACAUAUAAGCUUACUAAUGCUGGGAUACUGAAUAACUGAAUCUAUUAAUGUUGAUAAUUGAGUACUGAGGUUGAGAUCAGUCCUAUCUAGCGGGUGAUCUCUGAAUCUAAUAAUAAUGAGAAUAAUUAACUGAAUUUGAGAUCAGUCCUAUCUAGUGGGUGAUCUAUGAAUCUAUUAAUAAUGAAGAUGAUUAAUUUAGUCUGAAAUCAGUCCUAUCUAGUGGGUGAUCUCUAAAUCCAUUAAAUAUGCUAAUGGUUUACUAUAUCUGAUAAUCCUGAAUCUGUACUACUGAGCUGAGUUCUUUUACUGAGAUUGAUUCUGAAACUAAGAAUGUGGGAGGUAGUCAUCUAACCGACAUGCCCCUAAUCUAAACUAGUGGGGUCUAACCUGUAGCCCUAGCUGGAAGGGUGUCAGUACUGUGCCAUGGGUAAAGAAACUACUUCUAUGGAGUUCGUCCUAUCUAAUGGGCGACCCCUGGGAUCAGUUCUAUCUAAGGGGUGACCCCUAAGUAUGCCAGUCCUAUCUAAUGGGUGAUAUCUCGUACCUACGUUGGCUACGUAGUUCUGGAACUUAGGGAUUUUUUUUUUGGAUCUCAGUCCUCUGUAACGGGUGAGUCCCCAUCCCUAGGUUCGCUCGGUGCUGAAUCCUUAUCCCAACUGAAUAGACAUUGAUUGAUUUUUUUUUCUUAGACUGUACUAGACUGAGCUGAAUCUGUUAUUGAUUAUGUUACUUGACUGAUCUAGCUGGGUUCACUUGGUUUCAAAGACUGACGAAAUACUACUGUAUUUUGUUAUCUAACUGAAUGCUACUAAGUUUUGAAUUGAGUACUUGAAUGCUACUUAGGUCUGAACUGAAAACAGAACUGGACUUAGAAUGAUAUUGAGAUUAUUGAGUCUUUCUAUGUUCUGUAACUGACUGAGUUCUAAGGAUAGUGGCUUGAUUGAGAUUAUCAUGAAACUGACAUUGGCUCUAGACAAGCAGCUAAUUUGUCCGGUAUAAAUACCCCCAGGACUCGAUAACAUAAUUAGUACAAGAAACGACCACUCUUGAACAUCAUAACAAUAGAGUAUCAUUCACCAUACACUUAGUAAAGCAUCUCUUCAACCACUUAGAAAUUUUAAACACGUAAUGAUAUAGGGAGGCAUGCUAUUGUCUCAUAACUCAUUCAAUAAGGAAUGCACCAAACACUUAACAUGCAUUCAAGUGCAUAUAAUUCGGGAUUUCUUGUCAACAUUCUAUAAUGACCCUAUUUUCUUCACACAAGCAUUUUAUCAAACAUAUGGGGAGCAUACUUUGGUUAUGCAAUAAAUACUACACCUAAGUAUCAUGAUUUCAUCAACCAACAUGAAACUUAAAGGAGGUUUAUCAUGAACAUCACACAAUUCAUCACACGCUAGAAAUAAAUUCUUAAAACUUGUUGUCUAAAUCAUGAAUUAAAACUCAACAACACAUAAUCAUGAACUUCAAUACACAUAAAUCAUGAAAUCUCAUAAUUACAUGAACUUUAUAAUUUUGAAAAGGAUUCUUGGACUUCUUCGGUGAAAGGAAUCUGAGAAUCAACAUCUAACAUACCUCAAAAGUUUGAAUCUUAAAAGAUAACUAACGUUUCUUGAACGUUCUUUGAUUGGGAAACACGGAUCUUGAUGUUUUUUUUAUGGUUCUUGAACUUGAAGAACUCAAGUUUCUUAGUUUCUUGAAGAAGGGUUUGGAUCUUGUUCUUGGGGAAUAAUUUUGAAAGAAAUCCUAAUUUUGAUGUUAUGGGUGAAUGAGCAGUUAUGUGCUUUGAUUUGACGUGUUUGGGUGUUAAAUAGGGUGGAAAAUUCCUUUUAAAAAUGACUUAAAAUCGCUAAACGGAGUUCCGCGAUGAUUUGGGUAAUAAACCGUGGCACUGGGGAUGGACCAUCCCUUCAACCCAUCACUUUUUGGCCAGAAAAAUGGGUUACUGCUUCAGUUACGAUAGUUUGGGCGACAGUUCGUUAGCCUUCCCGUCGCUCUUUGGCAGUUCAGAUAGCUUGCUGUAAAAUGGCAAUAACUUUUUACUCCGAUAUCAAAUUUUGGAGAAAUUAGUAUAGUUGGAAAGAUAAUUCAAUUAUAUAUCUGUUGAUGGGUCAUGAGCUCAAAAAAUCUUUGUAUAAUGGAAGAUAUGAUCAUUUGAAGUUAACUAUGGCAAUGUCCUUCUCAAGAAUUCAAUCGGUAAGAGAUGUUUUGAUUCGUCUAAUAUCUAGGACAUAUUUAAGGAAUUAAUACACAUCAAACUUAAUAAAUCACUGAGAUUUAUUUCUCAUGAUCUUGAAGCAUGGUUCUACAAUCGGUUGGGAUUCUUGAGGUAUUAUAAUAUCUCCCUCUUGGGAACAUUCAUCCUCAAAUGAGGUUGGUUAGGCUGAGAAUACUAGCAGGCUGAACUUACUUACUGGACAUGAGCAUCUGAAACAUAAUUAUACGACUGGAACUACUAAUAUUCUAAGUAUUUAUACUGAACAUGCAUAUCUAAUGCAUGAACUGACUGAACUGACUCUUGAAAGCAUGACUGACUAUGCAAUGAUAUCUGAUGCAAAGCUUGUAAUGAGGAUCUGAGCAUGAAACUGAAUGGGUUAAAGGAAUGGAAAACAUAGGGGAGUUAUAGGGUAUCUCCCCCUUGGGACACUAUGUCCCUCUAAGAACACUUAUUUCACCAACAUACUUGAGAAAACUAAGGCGAUGCACAAGGCACCUACGAACUGGAUCAUAACUGAACCUCAUGAAUCUGAAACAAAUGUCUGACUCAUGAACUGAACUUUUCUUGCAACUACUAGGAAUUUCUACCUUGGAAUAUUUAUAUUUCCUUGAUAUUUCAAAUAUAAUGAUUAGAUAAAAAUAUAAGAAAACAAACUAUACGAAUCUAACUAUCUGACUGCUAAACUGACUUACUGGCUUUACUAACUAACUCAUGCUUAAACAUAAGCUCUAAUAGGACAAAGGGAUCUAAAAAUGCAUAUCAUGAAUAUAAAGGACUUAUAACGUACCCAAAUAUAUGUUUGGGGAACCUUCCGGAUCAUGACGGGUCUGGAGUGCAUAAAAUCUAUUCUGACACUGACAACUAUUGGUGCCCUGCUGAUGCAAAUCUUUUCCCCUUUUUACUAGAACUCUACACUCCCGCAUACUAUGGACUGGAUUACCACAUCCAAAAUAUACCUCGUUGCCUGCUCUACACACACCUAGGUGAUUCUUGCCAUAUUUUUCACAAAAUGGAUAGGUAUGCUCACUUCUCACGCUACUCUGGGCUUUGGAGCCUAUCGCUCCAUCAUAAUUGACAUCCCUGAAGUUUGGUGCGGGUACAAUAGCUGAGGAUGGAGUUGAGACUAAAAACUUCUGACUUUGUUGAAAACGGUUACCACCCUGAGAGAAGCUAUAACUGCCUGUUCUGGCUUUUUUAUUCACUCUCUUCCUUUCCUUCAUCUUAUCUGCCUCAAUCUACUGAGUGUACAUCAUUAGGCUAGAAAGAUCCAUAUCUCUAUUGAUCAUAGCAGUCCUACACUCCUUCAAUACUAACCCGAACACACCAGUCACAAACUUACUCAUGCUAGAUCUAGGGUCAGCCAUAAAAUUAGGAGCAUACUUAGCUAACUGGUUGAAUUAAGACAAUACUCCUUCACUGUCGUGGAGCCUUGCUUCAGGUUCAUUAACUCUUCUUCUCUCAUCUCAAAUGAGAAAAAAUUAUCUAAAAAUGCAUCUUGAAACACCUGUCAAGUCAUGGGAGUUGCAUCCUCCCCUCUACCCUUCUUCCACAUCACUACCCAAUAAUGAGCAACAUCCUUCAACCUAUAGGAUGAUAAUUCGAAACUCUCCUCCUCAGACAUAUGCAUAAUCUGGGAGAUCUUCUUCACCUCUUUAAGAUAAAGUUAUGGGUCCUCACCUGCUACUGAUCCAAAGAAUUUUGGCUGGUUUAUUUUUAUGAAAUCUCUGAUUUUGGCUGUGGCUGAACCCCCAUCUUAUAGAGGUGGGGAUAUAGCCUGACGGUUUCCCUGAACACUAGUUGUCACAACUUGGCCUAGUGCCUAAAAAGAUGCUCAAACUUUGCAUGUGACACAUUCUCAUUCUCAGGAUCUACAGGCUGAGGUAGCUGGUUAUCAUCCCUACCGGCAUUGUCUUUAUGAGGAGGCAUAUUCUGUAAAUGAAAGGAAAAAUGAAUUAGACUAAGAAUUAACUGGAACUUAUGCAUACUCGCACGACAUGAAUACUGAAAGAAGGGAAACUAUUCCUAAAACAUCUUAUAGUCUCUUGUACAUAAAUGUGGCGUGCAACACACCCAUGUACAAGACUCUACUAGAUGCUGCUUUCAGACUUCCUAGGACACUAUUGAACCUUAGGCUCUGAUACCAAGUUUGUAAUGACCCAGAUUUUGAACCCAAGAUGCUACACGGUGCUUAUGAUCCCAAAGGACCACAAGCUAACCCUUUUCUAAUCCUGUAACUGAGCACUACAUAAUAUACUGUAAAAAUUUAGAAAAUAAUAGGUGCAAACUUACCAUAAGGUUCAAAACUAAAAUACAACUGAAUAAAGUAUGAAAAAUACAAAAACAACUAUCUGAACAUCUAGUGUGAAAGUCUCUAAUCUGUCUGAAUAAGGAGUUGAUGGGAAAUCCCCAAACUAACUCUGUCUACUAAAAUACUAAAUCUAGAAAUAUAAUGAAAUAAUAAAUCAUUCUCGAAUGAUAAGGAAUCAUUGCUAAUUCUACUAUUUCUACUGAAUCUAAACCGCUAAGGGUGCUCUGGAUCUCGUGCUUCUGAACCUAUGGUAUAAAAUACCAUAGCGCAAAAAAAUAUGUGUCAGUACAUAAAAAUGUACUGGAAUGCUAGAUGAGGUAAGGCUAAAUGCAAAGGUUCAUAUGUAUGAACAAUACUAACUAAAUAAUCAAAGUAUACUAAAUGAGGAUACGUGCAUGAUGCAUAAACCAUAACUGAAAUCAUAGUGACACUAAAUACUGAGUUUCGAGUGAUACUUUACUGACAUAUGUGCUUACUAAUGCUGGGAUACUGAAUAACUGAAUCUACUGAUAUCGAUAUCUGAGUACUGAGGUUGAGAUCAGUCCUAUUUAACGGGUGAUCUUUGAAUCUAAUGAUAAUGAGAAUGAUUAACGAAUCUGAGACCAAUCAUAUCUAGCGGGUGAUCUCUAAAUCUACUAAUAAUGAAGAUGAUUGAUUUCGUCUGAGAUUAUUCCUAUCUAGUAGGUGAUCUCUAUAUCUAUUAAAUAUGUUAAUAGUUGAUUAUAUCUAACAAACCUGAAUCUGUACUACUGAGCUGAUUUUUUUUGUUGAGAUUGAUUCUGAAAUUAAGACUGUGGGAGGUAGUCAUCUAAUCGACAUUCCCUGAAUCUAAACUAGUGGGGUCUAACCUGUAGCCCCAGUUGGAAGGGUGCCAGUACUAUGCCACGGGUAAAGACACUACUGCUAUGGAGUCAGUCCUAUCUAACGGGUGACCCCUGGGAUCAGUCCUAUCUAACGGGUGACCCUUGAGUACGCCAGUUCUAUCUAAUGGGUGAUAUCUCAUACCUAUGCUGGCUACGUAGUUUUGGAACUUAGGGAUUUCUUCUAGGGAUCUUAGUCCUCAGUAAUGGGUGAGCCCCCAUCCCUAGGUUUGAUUAGUGCAGAAUCUUUCUCCUAACUGAAUAAACAUUGACUGAUUCUUUUUUUUAGACUGUACUAGACUGAGCUGAAUCUGUUACUAAUUAUGUUACUUGACUGAUCUAGCUGAGUUCAUUUGGUUCCAAAGACUAAUGGAAUACUACUGGGUUUCCUUAUCGGACUAAAUACUACUAAGUUCUGAAUUGAGUACUUGAAUGCUACUGAGGUCUAAACUAAAUGCUAAACUGGACUUAGAAUGAUAUUAAGAUUACUGAGUCUUUCAAUGUUCUAUAACUGACUGAGUUCUAAGGAUCGUGGCUUGACUGAGAUUAUCAUGAAACUUACACUGGCUCUAGACAAGUAGCUAAUUUGUUGGGUAUAAAUACCCCCAGGACUCGAUAACAUAAUUAGUACAAGAAAUGACCACUCUUGAACAUCAUAACAAUAGAGUAUCAUUCACCAUACACUUAGUAAAGCAUCUCUUCAAGCACUUAGAAAUUUUAAACAUGUAAUGAUAUAGGGAGGAAUGCUAUUGUCUCAUAACUCAUUCAAUAAGGAAUACACCAAACACUUAACAUGCAUUCAAGUGCACAUAAUUGGGGAUUUCUUGUCAAAAUGCUAGAAUGACCCUAUUUCCUUCACACAAAAAUUUUAUCAAACAUAUGAGGAGCAUGCUUUGGUUAUACAACAAAUACUAGACCUAAGUAUCAUGAUUUCAUCAACCAACAUGCAACUUGAAGGGGGUUUAUCAUGAACAUAACACAAUUCAUCACACGCUAGAAAUAAAUUCUUAAAAAUUAUAGUCUAAAUAAUGAAUUAAAACUCAACAACACAUAAUCAUGAACUUCAAUACACAUAAAUUAUGAAAUCUCAUAAUUACAUAAAAUUUAUAGUUUUGUAAAGGAUUCUUGGACUUCUUGGGUGGAAGUAACCCAAGAAUCAACUUCUAACAUACCUCAAAAGUUUGAAUCUUAAAAGAUAACUAACAUUUCUUGAACGUUCUUGGAUUGGGAAACACAGAUCUUGAUGUUUCCUUAAUGGUUCUUGAACUUGAAGAACUUGAAUUUCUUAGUUUCUUGCAUAAGGGUUUGGAUCUUGUUCUUGGGGAAUGAUUAUGAAAGAAACCCUAAUUUUGAUGUUAUAGGUGAAUGCGCAGCUAUGCGCUUUGAUUUGACGUGUUUGGGUGUUAAAUAGAGUGGAAAAGACCCAAAAAUCCUUUUUAAAAUUGCUUAAAAUUGCUAAACGGAGGUCCGUGAUGGUUUGGGAGAUGAACCGUAACAUUGUGGAUGGACCGUCCCUUCAACCCAUUACUUUUUGGCCAGAAAAAAGGCUUACUGCUUCAGUUGCGACGGUUUGGGCGACGGUCCGUUUGGCUUCCCGUCUCACUUUGGCAGUUCGGAUAGUUUGCUGUAAAAUGGCCAUAACUUCUUACUCCGAUGUCGAAUUGUAGCGAAAUUUGUAUCAUUGGAAAGAUAAUUCAAUUAUCUAUCUGUUGGUGGGUUAUGAGCUCAAAAAAAAUUUGUAUAAUGGAAGAUAUGAUUAUUUGAAUUUGACUAUGCAAUGUCCUUCUCAAGAAUUCAAUCGGUAAGGGUUGUUUUGAUUCGUCUAAUAGAUAGAACGUAUUUAAGGAAUUAAUAUACAUCAAACUUGAUCAUAAAACUACCAAAUAACUGAGAUUUAUUUCUGAUGAGCUUGAAGCAUGGUUCUACUAUCGGUUGGGAUUCUCGAUGUAUUACACAAUGAUACAGCAAAUCAAUAACAUAUACAAUGGUUGGAAGCAAGGUUAAAUGUGAUGGGGGCAAGAUCGAUUGUCAUGAAAUCUAAAUAGACAAAUAAUCCACCAUGUUUUUAAACUCACAAGUUUUCCUUGUAUAAAACAGGUACACAUGUUACCUCCAAAUCAAGGAUUUCAAAGCCUAAACAUCAAAGGCCAUAAUUUCUCACUUCUACAAAUGUAAAAGGCAAUGUUGCUGCACAGGUUUGGUGAUCAAAACCAUGGUAAAACUGAUAAUCCAAUAUCUCUAGGAGACGUACUUCCUUGUCCGGGUAAUUCAGGUUCAUUUAUUAGGUGAUGCAAUUCCUAAAUUGAACCUUCAUUCCUAGAAGUUGCACUUUCUAGUUGAGUCCUUCCAGUUAACCCUUAAGAGACACACUUCCUUGUUAGGGUAGUUUAAAUUUUGGCCUUCUAGGUGACAUAUUUCCGAACUUAGGCCUUUACUCCUAGAAGAUGCACUUUCUGGUCAAGUUCUUCCAUGCAACCACUAGGAGAUGCACUUCCUUAUUUGAGUAAUUCGGUUUUCAUUUAUUAGGUGAUGCACUUCCUAAAUUGAACCUUCACUCCUAGAAGUCGCACUUUCUAGUUAAGUCCUUCCACUUAACCCUUAGGAGACAUAUUUUCUUGUCUAGAUAAUUCAAGUGACAGUUGUAAGGAGACACACUUCAUUGUUUGGAAAAUUCAAGAAAUAUUUGUAAGGAAAUGCACUUACUUUUUUGGACAAUUCAAGCAGCAUUUGUAAGGAGACACGCUUUCUUGUUUUGGUAAUUCAAUCAGCAUUGGUAAGGAGACGCAUUUCCUUAAUUGGGUAAUUCGAAUUUUACUUAUUAGGUGAUGCACUUCCUUCCUUAAGUCUUAAUUCCUAGAAGAUGAACGUCCUAGUUGAGUUAGUCCCAUUGAUUCCUAGAAGAUGUACUUCCUGGUCGAGUCAUUCCCCUUGAUUUCUAGAAGAUAUAUUUCCUAGUCGAGUCAGUCCCUUUGAUUCCUAGAAGAUGUACUUCCUAAUCGAGUCAGUUCUCAUGAUUCCUAGAAAAUGUACUUCCUAGUCGAGUCAUUUCCCUUGAUUCCUAGAAGAUGUACUUCUUAGUCGAUUCAUUCUCCUUGAUUCCUAGAAGAUGUACUUCCUGGUCGAGUCAGUCCUCUUGAUUCCUAGAAGAUGUACUUUCUAGUCGAAUCAUUGCACUUAACUCUUAAGAGAGACACUUCCCUGUCAGUUUUCAUUUGUCAGGUGGCACAUGUGCUAACUUAAACCUUUAUCUCUAGAAGAUGCACUUUCUAGUCAGAAUUUCUCACUUUAAUUCUUAGGAGAUGCACUUCCUAGUCUUGGUCAUUUAAUUUCACUCUCAAGAGAUGCAUUUCUUGGUUAGAGUCUUGAUUCAUCAUUGCAACAUGCAAGUAGUUAUGAUUGGAUUUGACAUUCACAAAAGUUUUCUAAUAAUAAUUUGGAGAAAAAAUUUAGUUCAUGUAAUUGAAAGCAUCAUUUAGGAUCCUCUUGAAAAAUGAGACUUUAUUUUUGUAAAAGCGAGAUUUCUAUCAUAACAUUUGUUUGGGAUAAUUUUCUUUCUAGUUUUGAUGUGAUUUUAGGAGCUCGCUGAAGAACAGGGUGAAUAAAUGGAAAGUCAAGCAACAAGGUGAAGCAGUUGAAAGUCAAGUAACAAGAUGAAGAAAUUGAAAGUUAACAAGUUGAAAAAUAGCAAGUCAGAAGCCCACCUGGAGAAUAGGGUGAAGAAAUUAAAAGUCAAGCAACAAGUAAAGAAAUUGCAAGUCAGGAGCCCACCUGAAGAAUAGGGUGAUUUAACUGCUUUUAUAUAAAGUACUUAACGAUUGAUUAAUGAUGGGAUAAUGAUGACUAGGCGACUUACUGAUUUGGGAACAAUUAAUCAGCAUCUUGCAAAAUAGUAAAGGUUGGUCUCUGUUUUGUAUCUUUGAGCUACUGCUUGUUGGGAAUUGUUGGAAAUUAUCGAUUUUCACCUUGAAUUGCCUAUACACAGUGUAGUAUUAAUAUUUUUGAGCACGAGUAAAUGAUUUUAUUAAUUAAUAUAUUUGCGUAGAUUGAAGCCAUUGAAGGCUAUUUGAUUGGUGUUCUACGAGUUGCGAAGUUGAGGAUAGUGUUGUUAGCGGAUAAGUGAGACUUUAAGCUUUGAUGCUUGCUUUUCGAAUCUGCUUCAUAAAAAUUAUAUUUUUCUGCCUAGUCCAUAUGUUGGGACAAGAGUGAACUUGGUAGAAUCGGUGGCCUUUGUCUAGCUGUGGAUAUGUAUUUUGAAGAGUGUACUGAGAGUUAUUUAGUGGUGAAAUGUUAAGGUGUGUUGGGGCUUUGAAACUAUUUUCUUCGCUUCCAUUAUAGUAUCUGGGAGUAUACAUAGCUGUUGUAAUAUGUUAGGGGCAGUACUUAUGAUGACAUAAUAUGUUAGGGGCUUGUACAUGCUGCUGUAGUAGACUUUUGGGGCAUUAUAUACACUGUCGUGAACUUGUCGGGGUGCUAGGCCGAUCACCUUCACUGAAGUUUAUGACAAGUUGUGAGAGUUGGUUUAGUUGAGUUACAGAGUUGCUUUUUCAGCAUUACCUUAUAAGAGACACUAUGUGCAUAUUAUUUAUGUAUUUUGUUGUGCCGUAUAUUUUCUAACACUUGUUUCAGGGGCAUUAAAGUAGCGAGUCGAGGAUCUUAAUAGGUUAUAUUUACAUAUAGCUCACUCCUUACUUGCAUAUCUACAGAUACGGUGGUUGCAGAGAGAAAGACUUGUGGCUGACGGUCUUUACGAGUGGAUUUUGUUGCUGAGGUGAGCCUUCGCAUUGUUCGUGGAGGUUGUCGUCCAGCUUUAGUUAUUUUUAGAUUAUAUUUCUUUUCGUUGGGUUUGCAUGCCCAAAAUUUAAACUCAUGUAACUCUGUUUAGAUGCUCCAUGGUCUUGGUGUGAGAUUUGAGGCUAGAGAGUUAUUAUCUAAGUAUUAUGGUUUUCAUGGAUCGUAUUAUGAUAACUGAGUGGAUAAUUACUUUGCGUUUAAUAGUUAUUUCAUGUAUUUGAAGUUGCACAUGUUCUUAUCUCAGUGUUUGUAGACUUUGUGAAUGUAUGAAAAAUUGAUUCUCCCAGCAAGUAGUGUUAGCAGGAGUCAAUCACGCCUAGAGAUUAUUUUGGAAUGUGACAAAAAAAUCCACAUAGAUAGAUGCACAACUGUUGCAUAUUUCUUUCGGGGAUUGGGGAUAAAGUUGAGUACUCUUAGCAAUCUUGCUAACUUUUUCUAAAUUAACCUGACAUUCUGAAGUUAGUCUGGAUCUUCAAUAAUCACCAUCCAAUAAAAAUCACUUGAUGGAAUAGAUGUAUGUGUUUAGAUAAUACUGUCUUUUGUUCAUUGAACCAGGUUGAUUCACUCAUUUCAUCAUUCGCCUGCUGCUGCAGUACAUGACUUGGGCUAGCCUCAAUACUAUUCGAUGAUGGCCUAUUGUGGCUUGGGCUUGCCUUAACAUGUUGGUUUCAUCCCAACUUCAGCAAACCCUUGUGCAUAUUAUUUUAUUAAGUACAACCUAGUUAAAUCUUUUGUGUAUCCUUAUAUUCUACCUUUAUUUACAAGUGUAUCCAUGAGUUAUUGUACUUUAUUCAGGAGUCUAAGUUGGUUUCUUUAAUUGAAUAUAUAAGACAUUAUACGAAGCUAUUAUUCAUUCAAGAAAAAGGAGAAAAAAUAUUUCCGCAAUUCGUUUAUAUUUCUUUUCCGUAAUUUUCUUUCAAUUUUCUUUCAAUUCCUAAAAUGAAUCACAUAAUUAUCAGGAUAAUACAUCAAAGUUUUUUAUAGAAAAUAUAAAUGAUCAAGUUUCAUGGGUACAGCUGAUUAGCUUGGUAAAAAGGAUUAGAAAGCUUCGAAGCGCAAGAACUAGAAUUCAAUUUGCAAAUAUAUGGUUUCGUAAUUCGAACUUGAAACCUUCCGAUUCAAAAAUAACUAUAAUUCAUCUGAAAUAUUUCAAGUUGGAAAUAAAACUCACAACACUAUUGGAUUGGAAUAACACGUCUUCCAACAAAACAACGAAAUAUAAAAGCAACUGUUUUACAAGAAUGAAACAAACCAAAUGCAGACACAACAGAAAGAAGCAAACAGUUUUACUAUUGAGAAAGAAAACAUUCCACAUGAUUGGUCAGAAAGUCGAAAAGUAACUACCCCAGGAAGCACAGUUACUUCAAAUUCACCAUUCUUGAAUAAGAAAAAGACAAACAGGUUUUCUUUAUUGGAAGAACAAUCUUAUCAGAUGACUGGACGACGACAGAGAAAACACGAAAUGCCGCGACAUCAUAUACAUGACCUCAGAUCGAAGUUCCGAUUUCUCUCCUGCAGAAUGGAGGAAACUAGUAAAUGAAUUAACAGCGAAACAAAGAGAGGAAAUCUGUUUCAGAUAGGUUUAGAAAUAAACCACUAAAUCACUCAAAGCAAUCCUGUUAACAUUAGAACAAAAAGAAGAGCAGAGUGCAUUUAGAAUGUAAGGGAAGAAUUAGUGUUUCGCAAUUUGUUAUAUGCUACAAGAAUUGACAUAAUUACCAAAGAUAUAGUGUCUACUAGGUGUGCGUUCGGUCGGUUCGGUCUGAUUGUUUAAUAUUGAUUCGGUUUAUCGGUUUCAGAUUGACAAAAAUGACAACCAUAACCAAACCGAAAUAAAAUCAGUUUGGUUCGGUUUCUACAAAUUCGGUUCGGUUAUUUCGGAUUUUUAUUUCGGUUUGAAAUAUUAAAGUAGAGAGUCUCUCUUUUUCAUAACUGAGCAUUUAAAAUUGAUAUUUUUUUAAGAAAAAUGAUUUUUUUCAAAUCUAUUUUUCAUUCUCAAAUAUAAAUAAUUAUAAGUAACUCAAUGAAACGAAAUAAUGUCAUCAAGUUCUUUAUGGUAACAAGCAAUGUCAUCGUUGGGACUAACAUACGGAGUUUCUUGGGUGAUGCAGUACUAGUUUUUAUUCCAAAUGUAAAAUAAAGAAAAUGCAAUAAACUACCAUGUUAAGCAGAAAAUGCCAUAAACUCACCUUAAUGUUCCUCUUUAGACACAAACACGAAACAUCAAAUUCGUGGGUCGCGGGUUGCCGGUCGCAGUGUCAUUGUAAAGAAAGGGAGUAGAUCGCCGGUCUUUCGUCUAUUUCGCCGAAUCGCCGGUGGUGUAAAUCGAAAACGGCGCCUUGGAUUUACUGUUUACUGUUCGUGAGUGUUGAGACUUGAGUGUGAAUGGUAGGUAAUAUGUUUACUGUUUAGGAAUUUAGGCGUCUUGGAGUUGGAAUUAGGGUUACUAAAAUGUAUAUAUAAUUAAUAUAAUAUAUUGAUAAUAUAUAUUAUUUUAUAUAUAUAUAAUAUAUUAAUAAUACAUAUAUAUAUUAUAAUAUUAUUUAUAUAAUUUUGGUUUUCGGUUUUUUGGUUUAACCGAAAUUUUUUUUAAGAAAACCGAAAACCAAACCAUUUAACCGAAAUUUAAAAAUUGAAAACUGAAAUCAAUCCGAAAAACCGAAACCAAAAUUAAAUUUCAGUUCGAUAUUUUGUUUUUUUCGGUUUUUCGAUAUUUAUGCGCACCCUAGUGUGUACUAAAUGUGAUAUGUAUCGUCUAGAGAUAAAAAAUGUAUUCCCAAUGGAAAAGAAUAUAGCCAUGCAAACAAAAUUUUAGCGAAGAGUACUGUACUAUAUACAUAUGAGUUUGACUAACCUUUCAACUUCACUGUGUGGCCUUGGAUUCAGUUUCGGGAGGGAACAUGCUGAACUUGAAUUUUAUGUUUUUGGAUGUCUUACGUUCCAGUAUUUCUUUUGCAGAUUUGACCGCUUUGCUUGUAUUAUCCAGCUUCAUCUCGUGAAGAUUAGGUAUAUCAGCCAGCUCAAGUGGCACAGCGUUGAGCUUAUCACAGGAGACAAGAACAAGGUGACUAAGGAUGGGGAAGCAAAGAUUCGACGCUUCCCAAGUUUCUAAUUCUGCCCUCUCUAUCCACAAUACCUGGAGCUGGCUAAAACCUCCUACCUCCGGCCUCCAAGUAUCACCCAUGAAUGCAUUUUCUUUCAACUUUAGAACCUCAAGGGAUUCCAAUUGCCCUAAUCUAUCCGCCUCACUCCAUGGAAACUUUGUGUUAGCCAAAGUUAACUUCUUCACUGUACGUACAAGUCUAAAGAAUGCUGGAGGGAGAUGAAGCGAUUUAUUCAUGUAAAGAGCAUCAUUCAACAGUUUCAGAUGUUCCAGGCACUUUAACUCUUCAAGAUUGCUGAUUCCACCUCUGGUUUCAAGAAAAACCGCCAUUUGACCUCGAAUACCCAACUUUUUUAGAUUACACGCCUUAGCGAGUACAUCUUUCUUGCAACUUUCUGGUGAAACCAUAGAAAGAGUUUGUAGACAAGAAGCUUUACCUGUUGUGGUAGUAGGUGAUGGCAAUUUUGCAGGUAUGUUGGUGUGCAGAUGCCGCAGCUGUAACAUGUUCCAUAUUUCUGCUUUUACGUCAAUGGUGGGCUCUGAGGUACUUGUAUUAAGUAUUAGAGUUUGUAGAUUCCAAAAUUUACCAAAGGUUGGAGGAAGGGACUUAAAGUCACCUGAGAUAGCAAUAUACCUCAAAUGAAAUAAUUGGUUAAAGUCCUUGGAGAAAAGAAAUUUGAGAGAUUCAACGUCCAAGACCCUAAUAAGUGGAAAUGCUUUGUGAAUGAGUUUUAUGUCAUUAGGAGACAACUCAAUUUGUUUUUGUUUUGAGGAAAAACAAUAGAAAGAUCUCACAUGUUCUGCAAAAGGUCUUGUGGAGAGAAAGUCAUACAGAACAGAGGGUUCACUACACAAUCGGCGGCUAGUAUCUUGGUCCUGUAUAGAAGGAAUAACAUUAUCAGGUGUUUUACAUAUUUCAUGAAAAAGCCAUUUGUUAGUAGCCUCCUUUCUGCAAAACUCGUGCAACAUAUCAUGAAGACGGCAUGCUUUAAUUUGACCAUCAGACCUCUUUUGCAUCAAUAUCAGUAAAUUUCUAUUAACAAGAUCGUUCAAAUGAAGCUCAGCGAUCUCCUCAAGAGUGUAUGUUUGUUGGGGCUUUAUUAACCCUUCCGCUAUCCACAUGCGAAUCAAUUUCCAAGAAGCAAUAUCAAAGCCUCGUGGAAAGAUACCACAAUACAAGAAGCAUGUCUGCACUUCUUGGGGCAAACGAUCAUAACUCAUCUGUACAAAUUUCAAGCAGCUCUCUUGGCUAUUCUUAUAAAGAUGUUGUGCCACAUUUUUCUGAACUCUUUGCCAAUCACUUUUGUUGGGACGACCUCUUAAUGCUCCUGCAAUUACCACUACUGCAAGUGGUACUCCAUCACAGCUUCCUGCAAUUUUUUCUCCAAGUCCAACUAAUUCAUCAGGACAGCUUCCGUUUCCAAAAACUCUCUUUACCAACAAUUCAAAACUUUCUUGUGGAGUCAAAAAUUUCAGAUCAUGAGGAUCUGGAUUGGCAUAAGUAGCCAGAUAUACGUCACGUGUGGUCAUCAUGAUUCGAUGCCCCUUUUUGUUUUCUGGGAAAACUUUCUUUACGUAAUCAAUAACUAUUGCUUCCCACACAUCAUCCAAAACUAUGAAACACCUGCCGCCUUUACUCAUAUAAACACUAAUUACAUUAGCUAAUGUGUCCACAUCGUCAUUGAGAUGAUCUUCUAUGCGUUUUGUGAAGAAUUUGAGAAUAUUAAGAAAAAUAUCCUUUAUUUUGUAAGAUUGUCCGAUGUAAACCCAAAUGAUGCUGAAAAAUUCAUAUGAAAGCUUAGAAUCAUUGUAGAUUUUCCUUGCUAGUGUAGUUUUUCCAAGACCGGGCAUACCCACUACUGGAACAAUGUCCAGAGAUUCUGCCGGUCCUUCAAAAAGUCGCUUGAUCACUUUGUUAGCUUCUUCAUCAAAGCCAACCACUUCAUCAUCCUCCAAAGAAGGCCCCUUUUUUAAACAUAAUCAAAUGGAGAUUGCAGAAAUCAGAGUGAUAGUCUUCUUAUUUUUCCAACUGUAGCUACAAGUAUUCUAAACUUCCGUAAGAUAUAACAAUUUGCAACAUUAUAUUAAAAUGACUGAGAGAGUGUCUUUUUGACAAAAUUCAUUUGAAACUUGCAAAUUAGUGAUGUUUUAAUCCAAAAAUUCAGAAUUUCAGAUUGUUGGAAUAACUUUAAAUCCUCAUUCUGCCUUUGAUGGAAACUAGGAAGGGGCUGGGUCAUUCCGGCCCAUGUGCAAGCUCAAGUCUCGGCUGACCAAUGCACCGACCUACACCGAUUAUUUGUAAUAUGUUUUUUUAAGGAAAAUUAUUCUUACAAAGUUGGAAAUGGUUAAAUUUUUAAGAGGAUGCUAGUUUGUCUGAUUUACAUGAUUUUACAUUUUGUUAUACCAUUUGAUCAUAGAUUUUCAAAUAUUUUAGACAAGGCAGUUUUAUAUGAAGUUUUAAUAUUAUUUCACCGUAGUUUUUGAGAAAUAUAUUUCACAUUUACAAAAAGAUAAAAAAAUAGGAUUUAUACUUGUAAGUUCAAAAAAUUAUUAAAAAUACCUAUAAGUUCAACACAAAGAUAUCAUUUUAUAAUGAACUAUAUAAUACGGGAAAAAAAAAAAAAAAGCAAAACGGAGAACAAGAAAGACAUAAACAACAAAAGUUAACAAGUCGCACAUGAUUAUCAAGUAGAAAAAUGAACGGAUGUGUCUAAUUAACUAAAAAAGAGAAAAGUAAAAAAGGGAUUUCGUCAAAUUACAAGUGGUUACAAAGAUACAUAACUGGGGAAAAAUUUAAAUAAUAAUGGCAGUGACAAGCUAUCUUUAUAGAUAGGGAUGGUUUAACGAGGGGUUGGUUAGAUAAAUUAUAGUUGGAGUAAUAAUUGGUGAGUUUUUUUUAAUAAAAUAUAAAUGUUUGGGAGAAAUUUUAAAUUCUUAAAAAGAACCCAAAAAUAAAAAAAAUUCCCCAAAACCACUUUUUCUAGUUUGUGAGAUUUUGGUGUUUUUAUCAAAAAUUGAUAAAUUCAAUGGCCAAACAAAAUUGGUCCAAAACUACUUAAGAUAUUUAUGUCAAUCAGGUUCGAAUCAUGUUUUUUUUUCGUGAGAUCCAAUUUGACAAACUCAGUCCCUAGAAGAGCGCUUGACCCAGGCUCACAUUAAAAUCAAAUACUAGUAACUAAGGGGAUUAGUACCCACAACCAAGAAGGUCAAUAAAAGUUUUACAAAUACUUCUAAUUCAUUAGACCAAAAAGACAUUUUAUAUAUGGAUUUUCA